CCUCUCUCUCUCUCUCUCUCUCUCUCUCUCUCUCUCUCUCUCUCUCUCUCUCUCCUUUUAAUAUGUAUUUUCAAUUACAACAGAAGGGAAAAAGAUGAAGUGGGUGGCCCCUUUUGUUAUUAAAAUAAUUAUAUAGAUAUAUAUUAUUUCAAUAUUUAAAAUGACCAAUUUGUUCUUAUAUUUAAACGGUAAAUUGAAUGAAAUGUUGAGAUUUAGACGAUAAGAAGAGAAUUGAGAAUAAAAUUUAGUUCAAGUCUUAAAUCUUAUUUUUUAAAAAGUGAAAGAAUAAAUUGAUAAUUAAGUAUAAAUUCAGGCAUUUCGGCAGUUUUGAUCAGGGGAAACGAAGCCAACUGUCAGAGUGGCUGCACCAAAGAUAUUAAUUACCAUAAAUACCCUGGAUCCAUCGAGGAGGCAAACAGCAACAAAGAAAUAAGAAGAAGAAGGCCCAAAUAGUCGCAAUUUCGAUAAAAACAAAGCGAGAAAGCCCAACAAAUCCCAACAAACACCAAGAAACAACAAACGCCAGCAUUUAUAAAACCUGUUUGAUGACCCUCCUCCUCAAAUCAAAACCCACUCUCUCUCUCUCACAUACACACUCUUCGUGCUCUCCGCCUCUCUCUCUUCUUCUCGUUUUUACUUCUUUCAAUAUCAGAUCUCUCUUCUGUCGACACCAAUGGCUUCUCUCACACAAGCUUCUACUGCUCUUUCAACCUCCUUCAAGCCCACCUUGGUAUUACUUUCCCCGUCUCCUGUUGUCAUUUCUCUGUUGUUAAUUACAAUCUAAUUUUCAAGAUUUAUGAUUUUCAUCAUCAUGUUUGUUUGUUUUGUUUUCACGAUUUGAGGUUUUGCUAUUAGAUUUGGAUCUUCGGUUUGUUGAAUUAAUGAAUCUGGGUAAAUUGUUGAGCUUGUUAGUGAUUCUUUGUGGUCUACUGUCAAUCUUGCAGCUUGCUUCCGUUUCUUAUUGAUUGAAAUGGGUGAUUUGGAUUUUAUUAGGUUAAGUCUGAGCUUCCUUUGCUAAUCAUUAAGUUUGAGUUUUUAAUGAGACGAGAGAGUAAGCUUGAGUUGAACAUUCUUGCUCAAAUUGACUUUUUUAUAUACUAUUUUGAAGUUUGGGAGCUGCACCAUGUCUGCAUGUUAUUAGGUUAGAGUUAGACAUUACAUGAACCAGAGUUGUCAUCAAGACCCAUUACACGGUGGGUCCCAUUUGGUGUUUUGAGUCCACUUGGUCUGUGAUUGAUUUUGUGAUGUAGACUGUUGAACUUUAUAAUUCUGUUUUAGUUCAAGAAAAUGAUGGAACAAAAUUGCUCUAAAUUUCAUACUACUUCCUCUCUUGUAACUGCUCAAUAACACUUUAUCAAGUUAAAGGAAGCUGUAGAAGUUGUAAGAUAUUUGCUAGGUAGGAGAUUGAAUGUUUAGAAGGCAUAUAUUGAUGUUAUCUUUUUCAUGAUGUCAAUUUUUGGAUAACAGAACAAUAUUGACUUAGAAAAUUUAGCUUCCUUACAUGUUGCUCUAUGGUUGAAUGUUGAAGCAGGCAGUCAGCAGCAGGAGCUCUGGUCUGAAGUCAGUUUCCUUUUCCAUCACUGGAAAGCGCUUCCCAUCUCUCAGUUCCCGACCUGGGCGUUUUCAAGUUUCCUGUUCGGUACGCUCAAUUGAUUAUAAUGCUAUUGUUGCUUUUGUUUUUGUUGUUGUUCCUAUUCGAUAAAUUUCUGCGUAUCUCCACUUUUGUUGAUGUGGCAUUAGUUUGUAAUUUAUUCUAUAAAUUUUAUUUCUAAUUGCUUGAAUAUGAUUAAUGGUUGGACUUGUUUGGAAAAUUAAUUUUGUUCCCUUAACACAUUACACUUUUUAGAGAGGUUUAACUGUAGUAAAACAAAUUAUCCUUUGAGGUCCUCUUAAGACAUGGAGUGCUGUUUCCUUUAAUGCAGACCUCAGAAUGUCUCCUUUUUUGGGAUAAGAGAGGACCUGAUAGCAAAUAAUGUCAUCUCAGAAAGCCAGUUCUUUGUACCUUUAAUGUGCUCUUGGCUCGCUAUGAUGCCUACACUCUUACGUACUUUCCUUUUAUCUGUGAAACAAAUUAUCUUUUGAGGUCCUCUUAAGACAUGGAGUGCUGUUUCCUCUAAUGCAGACCUCAGAAUGUCUCCUUUUUUGGAAGAAGAGAGGACCUGAUAGCAAAUAAUGUCAUCUCAGAAAGCCAGUGCUUUGUACCUUUAAUGUGCUCUUGGCUCGCUAUGAUGCCUACACUCUUCCAUACUUUCCUUUUAUCUAUGAAACAAAUUAUCUUUUGAGGUCCUCUCAAGACAUGGGGUGCUGUUUCCUAUAAUGCUGUCCUCAGAUUGUCUCAUUUUUUGGCUAAGAGAGGACCUGAUAACAAAUAAUGGCAUCUCAGAAAGCCAGGGUUUGUACCUUCAAUGUGCUUUUGGCUCGCUAUGAUGUCUACAUUCUUCCGUAGUUUCCUUUUAUCUAUGUAGCAAAUUCUCCUUUGUAUAUCAAAACCAUGUGAUAGGUUGCUUAGCUUUGUGUUGUUUAUGUAAAAAAAAUUCUUUAACAUAGUUUUGGUAAGUUCGGUGGUCUAUGAUCAUGAAUUUGUCUAACUUUGAUCAUGAAAAUGGCUCACAAUCUUGAAAAAUCAGUCCUAUUCUUUAAUAUUAAUAACUAGUAAUAUGGUAUUAUUACUUCUUUGUAGGCCAAACCAGAGACUCUGAACAAGGUGUGUGGCAUAGUGAAGAAGCAGUUGGCUUUACCCGAAGACACAGCUGUGACCCCAGGCUCAAAGUUUGCUGAACUUGGCGCUGAUUCUCUUGACACAGUAAUUCCCAACUAUCUUUUGUUGCUUUCAUUUUCUACCAAGCCGAUUAAUAUUGUAGCUUUCUGUAGUUUUUUCUUUUGUACAAUGCAAGUUGAAUUUCAAAAUGACAGCGUUUUUACAGAGUGGAUACAACAGGCCACGGUGUCCGAUUUUCUUUUACAUUUGAAUAUAUAUGGCUAUUUUCUUCAGUACAUCUUCCACGAGGAGAAAACAACGUGCGUGUCACAAGAAUGUGACUGAUCAUUCAUUUCCCACAUUGCUUUUAUACAGGUUGAGAUUGUGAUGGGACUUGAGGAGGAGUUUGGCAUCAGUGUGGAGGAAGAAAGUGCCCAGACCAUCGCCACUGUUCAAGAUGCAGCAGAUCUGAUUGAGAAGCUCGUUGAGAAGAAGAGUACUUAAUAGUUUAGAGAGAAUCAGAAAAACCUAUGGACCUUUUUCUUCCUUUAGUUUUUCUUUGUUUUUGUUUUUGUUUUUGUUUUGUACGAGCUUUAUAUUAUGGUUUUGGUACUUUAAUUAUCUUAUGGAUAUUUUAGUGUUCUUAAAUGUGAUGAUCUCAAGUGGUGUUUCUUAUGUUCUGAAUUUGUCUUUUUUAUCUGAUGAAGAACGAAAAAGUACUGGAAAAAUAGUUGUUAAGUUCUGAAAAUUUUCUUACUCUACCUUCAUUUAUGCUAUUUGGAUUAGUCUUUAAAUAUAGAAGUUCAUUCUAUUUGAACUUCUAAUAAUAUUGCCUCUUGAAUAGAAUUUUUUUAAUUUUUAAAUACAAGUGAUGAUUGGGGAGGGGAAAUAAAACCUGACUUCAAAUGCAGGGAUUGGGGAGAGGGAAUUAAAUUUAAGACUUCAAAUGCAGGGAUAAAUGCUGUAAAUCACUUAUUGUUAGUUGUUAUUUUUUGCCCACUUCCUCCGUAAAAGUACUUCGGAAAUUUUUAACUCUUGAUGUUUUCUAUAUACAAGAAACAAAAAUCUAUUUGUGUUGAAUAAAAUUUUGUGAUCUACCCAAAGUUGGAAUGUUUGAAUAAAAAUUGUCUAUAGAAUUAAACUUCAAGACUUGGUAAUUUUUUGCCCAACGUCCUAUAGUCUGUAUACGUUUUGUAAAUAAACAUUUCAAACGAUGCCGGUGUCAAACAUGACGGGUUGGCCCAACACGGCAUGAGUUCAGCUCGUUUAAAUGAGGCACAGCACGGCACGAGCACGAAUAUUAAUGGGUCAUGCUUGGCAUGGCACAAAAACUUGGGCUGGGCGGGAUCAAAAAAUGAGGUCCAAUGGACUGGGGCGGCCCAUGGCCGGAGUCCGCUUCAAAUAGUUGAUCAUUUCUUGCCUCUAAUUAUAUUUUUAAUGUUUAUAAUUUGAAUUAUCUAGUGGAAAAAAAAAACAAGUGAAAAAAAUUCAAAUUAAAUAGGUUGGUUCUUGGGCCUAAGCACGGCACGGGCACGAGCACGAGUCCGGCCCGGUUCGUUUUAAUGUGGACCUGGACUUUGGGUCGGAUCGGAAUCAAUGAUUUUACUAAAUGGGCCGGCAUGACACGGCUCGAUAAAUUAAAUGGACUGACCCGACACUGCACGAAAACGUUAAAAACACGAGUUUAAAUAGGACGGCCUGGCCCAAUACGGCCCGUUUGACACCUCUAGCCACAGGGACUAAAUUAGAUUUAGUUAUGAAGAGUUGUCUUCAAUUAUGCUAGUGGGAUGGUCGAAUUAUUGAUUUUCUGCUAAAUUUUGCCUAAGAAAGACUUAAUUAUGGAUUUUAAUGAAAAAGAAGAAAAGGAAAACUUAAUCAUGGAUCCUUGGCCCAACUCCCAAGUUGAACAUGUUCUUUGCUUCAAUUUCUCUCUCACCCGCUUUAGAAAAACUUGUGGAAAUGGAAUAACACUAUUUUAUUAUUGUCAAUCAAUCACAAACUGUUACGUGAAAAAAUUAUCACGUGUAACGUGCCACGAUUGAUAAUAGUGUUUCUUCACCCACUUGGGUAGCGUCUGGCAAACAAACUAGACAUUCUUAUUAAAAUCGAGCCAUCACUAUUAGAUAAAAAGAAUCCUAUAGGAGACUGUUAUUAAAGAUCAGGACAGCAGAAAACAGACAAAUUAGAUUACCUAAACCACCAAUUUUAUUUUAGCUUGAUUGUACAACAUGUGACUGGCUACUUAUUGUAUACUUUGGAGUCUCACAUGCACUUGAAAUAGAAGUUGCUUCAAUUAUUCGAUCCAAUUGAAAACCGGGUGCAACAUCCUGAAUUAUUUCUUCUUGUUGUACUUUUCCCUUGUGGGAUGGCAUGGGGCUUGAAGCACAAAAUUCAGAGAUUCCAAGAAGUACAAUAACCCUUCAAAACCAAGUAAACGAAAGACUUUAAGCGAAUGGAUUAAUGUUCUUACAAGUCUGUUGAUGUUUGUGAUAUUGGGGAGGAGAAAAUCGAACCUAAAACCUCGGAUAUAAUGAUAAAUGUUCUUUAACCACUUACAUAAUCAAUUACAAACUCUCUAACCUAUGAUGGAAGUAGGACUAUACAUAUGUAUAUUAGAUGGUUUCACUCCAUCCCAUUUUGAGGUACUAAUUACAAACAAUGACAAUUGAAUCUCGUAGCCCAAAAAAGACUUACACCCUAAUAAGCUGCAUAGACUACAUAUGCGGCUGAACCUGCAAAAGCAGCCAGCUUUAAAGGCCAAAUUAAGCUUAUAGAUGCUGCUGAGGAAGCUGGCAAUGACCCAAAUGGUGAGAGUGAAGAGUAGGGGCCAGGAGAAACCAAGUCGUCCGGAUUCGGAGGGCUAGGGUUGGAGGGAAUGGUGGGGAUAGAUGAAUCAGUUGGAGUAGCAGGAACCACAGGACCAGGAGAUGGCAAAAGUGGAGCUAUUUCUGGAGGCAAUCCUUGUAAAGAAGAUGGAGGAAAAUUGGUGAUCAAGAAUGCUGGUGAAGCUGAGAUGCUAGAUGAGGCAGAGGAGGCUUUUGAAUGAAGGGAAAGCAGAGGUGAGGCCAUGAAAGCCAUAAUGAGAAAAACUAUAUGGGACCAAAAAGAGGCCAUUUCUAAUGAUGAAGAUAUCAAAGUUGGGAGAGUGGAGGGCUUAUAUAUUUUGUGCAAUCAAAGUUUUUACUAAAAGAGCAGAGUGAAUGGGAUUUUGUGUGUGGUCUUUUGGUGUAAGUUAUGAUUUGGGAUAUUUUAAAAGGAUGACUAGACUAGGGUGGGGUCCAUAUGCCACAUGGGUAGUGAAAUUUGGAUGAAUAUGAGAAAAUACAGGUUGGCAUAUUUAGUGAAGAGACAAAGAUCAAAGAUGGGUUAGCAUCUUUUGUAAUUGGAAUCAGAUGGUUUUGUUUUCAUUUUUCCUUUUGGUCCGUGAUCUUGCUGUUCCCUGAUUUCUGAUAAUCCGGAAGCCCAAGUCCUACUAAUCUACUUGACUAGUUUCAAUGCUAUAAUCAUUGAUAAUCACCCGUCAAUAAAUUUAUCAAUUCAAAGGUUUAUUGUUUAAGUGAUUAAUAAUAAUUAUUUUUGUAUGAGAUCAUGCUUUUGAAUUCCCUAAUAGUAUUUGAUGGACGAAAAUUUGAAUUUCAUAUGGUGCGUGGACCGUUGAUUGGUGUAGGUCCCAUCAAUCAAUAUUGCGAUUUACUCAGAAACAUACAAGGCAUGAGCAUCCUAGAGUAGGAAAAGUUCGAAGAAAUUUCACGAGAAGCGUUGAUUGAUGUUAUGAUUUGUAAAUUGACUCUAUUACCAUUUAUAAAAAAUAAAGAACAAAAUCAGAAAUUCAGAUAAAAUAAUGCAUGUAACUAACCAAACAAAUUAAAUUUAUUUUCUACCAUUCUCUAGUCAAUCCACAAACUUCCAUAGUUCCAAAGCCAUUUGCAGGGCCUGACCACAGAAACGUUUUGAUGUCCAUAGAUUCCCUUCCCAUUGGGGUCAAUGAACAAGUGUAGUUUAAAAUUUCAAUUACCAGAUUUAUUUAAUGUAAAAAAUGAAUAGAAAUGUUGCAACAUUGGACAUUAUUGACUAAUGAUGCAAAGAUUUGCAAUCAUGAUAGAUUCUCGCAUUACACAUUUUUCCAACCGUUUGAUGAAAAAAGUCUGAGAGGUCAAGGACAACCUAUACCCACCCCCAACCCCUCCCCCCAAAAUCACGGGUCCAUCAAGUAAAAAAUUAGAUUAUAAAAUAAAUAAAAAACUUACCGACAAAUGAUGUCCUAACCCAAGGAAUUUCACAGGAUGGGAUUGUCACACUAUUCCAGCAUGCAUGAGCAGUGGAUCCAAAGUUUGUUUUUUUUCUUAUUUGCCAAAGAAAGUCUUUUUUGUUUGUUUUUGGGUAGAUGGAAUCAGAGUUUGGUCUCCAUCCCAGCCAAAUCCAUGGUUUUCUAGAAUUUUUAUAAAAAAAAUCUUGAUUUAUCUAUAUAUAAAACAAAAAAUAGAGAAUGAUGAAAUAUUCAAAAUACCCUAGGUUCAUGCAAGCGUUAAGAAUUGAAAUUAUUAAUUAAAUGAGAAUAAUAUAAUAAAUUCACAUUUUUUCAUAUUAAAAAAUUUUAAAAUUAAAAAAAAUAAAUAAAUCAGAUAAUGAAUCAUAUUUUUAUGAAAUGGUUAAUCGUUUUAUUAAUCUCUAAAUUUUAACCCAAUUUGCAUUUGAGGGAGUAGAAAUGGGGAUAGAGGGGGAGAGAUAGUUUAAUUUUAAUUUUAUAGUUUUUAAAAUUUUUAUUAUUCAUAUUUUAAUCAAUUUUGAUACAAAAAUACCAUUUUGCCCCUACACUUAACAGAAAAGUGAACAAAAUUGACAACAAUACCAUUUGUCCUAACAAAACUAAAAUUAAAGGACCACAUGAACCAUUUUGGAAAUUGAGGUACUCAAAUGCAAAUCGGGUCUAAAUUCAACGACUAAUAAAACGAUUAACCUUUUAUGGAAUACAACUAUCUAUUAUUAUUUUUAAUUCUAAAAUAAUUUAAUUUUAAAAAAAAAAUUUAAUUUAAAAAAAAAAAAAAAACAAAAGGCCUCUCCGUAUGCGCUAGUAUUUCCUUUAUGUACAAGAAUUUUGUGACCCCAUAAAUUUGUAGAUAAUGGACAUCAACUAACCAAUCUCAUACCACAACUAAUCAGCAUUUUGAUAUUAGUCGAACACAGGAUUUUGAUCAAAUUGCAGCCAACUAAAUUCCAAGAGAAAUAUGUAUUAAAAGAAACUAUAUUUAGAAUUGCAAUGGACAUACAAAGUGUACACGGAUUAUACAAUGACAUGUCAACCAGAGCUGGAUUGACACUAAAAUUUUAUGCAAAAAAAUUAAACUCACCUUCAUAAUUUGUUGACCCAUUCUCAGGAACUCAAGAGGCAUGUCUUUAUGCCAUUGUGAAAGCCAAUUGAUUUGCAUACUGCACACCGAAAAAAGAAAUCACUAAGUUAGAGAGAUCAUAAAUAUUAUGAAACAAAACAAUAGGAAAAAGAAGAAACCACCAUAUUACCUCUAGCGUUUCACAAGCAGCGAGGCAGCCGUUGCAACUCCACGGCCACAUGGAAAGCAGCAGUGGCUAAAACAGGUACACCUGAACCUUUAAGCUCAGAAACUAUGCCCUCAAUUCUCGAAAUCUCGGGUAUAGAUAUCGACAAUAUCAUUGCAUGUAGCAAAUAUUGCCGGCAAGAAUAACCAAGUGCAUGGAGCACCCGCUGCACCAGUAAGUGAGAUGUGCCCCUACGCCACGACUCAAGGACUGCAGUAACUUUUGGCAGAUUAGUUAGAAGACCGGCAGAGGCUUCCCUUGGAGCUGCCUUGAGCAACAAGACCACACAUUCGGAAGCUAUAUCCGCCACAUUUCCUCCAUGGGAUCUACUCAACUCUAGCAAGACACCAAUAUUGCUGCCAAAGUCCGUGAUAUCUCUAAUGCCUUGUUGAUCAGCACCACUUGCCUCGGAAGACACAUCACCUAUAAGAGCAGGUUCUUUUGAAUAGAGGAAGCCUCUUCUACCACUCACUGACCGUAAAAGGAAAGCCCUGCAUAGGCCAAGGGUUGGUUCCAGAAAAUCUUCCAUAUCUUUUGCGUAUACGAACUCUAGAAGAUUUCCUAUUUUCCUAACUACCUUUAGCUGAGAAAGUAACUUGGUUUCCAUUUCAGGUGCCGAAGUCAGGGCCAGACAUAGCAUUACAUUGUUGACAUUUGCACUUGAGAGAUCACCAAGCAAAAACUCAAAGCAUUGUGAGACUAUCUUAAGAUCUAGAAUGUCUGCAAUUUUGAUGUAAUUAAACUCAAUCAGCAUCACAAGAAGCUUUUGUGCGUACAAGGGGAUUGGAUCUUCAUCUUCAAUCAAAGAAGGGUAGAGAGGAAGAAAAUUUUUAUUGGAUAUGGAUUCCAAUUCUUUGGACCUUUGCUCAUCCUCAGAUUGUUCAUUCAGGAAAAUAACCAUCACGUCAAACAAAAUUUUCAAGCACAGAAACCUGGCAUCACCAUCCUUGUUGCCCUUAUAAAGCACAGCCAAACUGGGGAGGAUUUCACGGAUAAAAAUAUGAGGGCUUUCAAGAAUUACAAGUGACUCCUCUGACACAGACUCAAGAACUCGAAGAAGGGUAAUCUGAAAGUCAUCCCUGCCCUGGAAAUCAACAGUAAAUUAUUUAUCAGUAUCUAUGACAUCAUUUUUCAAAACUUCAAGCUAAUAGACGUUUAUUCUGUAGCCCUUCACAUCAUCCCCACCCCCUUGUCCAUAGGAUUCAGUCCAAGACCACACAACUAAAAGGUGCCCACUUAAAAAUAAUGGCAUGGUUUACUAGAAAUUCGUGUAAAAAUGUCUGGUUGUCACUUGUUCGUGCAUUUUAACAACCUAUUACCACCUGGGAUUACUUGCCAAGACACAGUACCUGAGCCAGGCAAGUUACAAAUCAUCCCAAGUUCCAAUCAUUAACAGUUGGCUGAUCUAAGCCAUUUUGGCAUUACUAAAUUUUCAUAUCCAAAUUAAACGUCUACCUUGGAUUAGCCAGAUAACAAAAAGACUAGCAAUGACUAAACAACAAAGAAUGGUUGGGCUGCAGCCACCUACCUGAAAUGUUGUCUCCACGAGUUUAAUUAGAUUUGCCAACUGCUGCAGGACCUGAUCACUCACCACCUUGCGCUUAAAAGACGAGCUCCGAAGAAGAUGGAGAACUACAGGAAACAUAUGAACAUUGGUCUUUGGGGCAACUCUACUGUUCAGGGGAGAUAGAUGCCCAUGGCGCCUUCCUCCCAUCAUUUGCUGUAUUUCUCCAGUUAUAGUAUCCAGUAAACUGGGUAUAGUAGAUGCCACAACACACACGGAUGCAUCUAAACACUGCUGCACAUAGUGGUCCUUCUCUUUUGCCAACCUGUCAACGGCAGAAAGUAACUUGGCAUUGCAAAACAAAUGUGGCAGCCACCUCCUACCAUUCUUACAAAGAAGAGCAACGAAAACAAGUGCCUUUCCCUUCAAAACCUCACUUCCCUGAUCGAUAAGAGACACAAGACCUGGGACAAGAUUCUUAUCCUCAAUCAAUGGCAGGAGCUGCCUGCCAAUAUUAGUGAACAUAUGACUUCCAAGCAUGGCCAUGUUUAAAAGGUUUAAGCUGAUUUGCUGCUCACGUAGACUGCCUUUCACAAGAGCCGAUGCUAUUUCUUUUAAAGAGAGCUUCUCUAUUACUGGUUGAAUGCUAGGUGGAUUGAAACGAACAAGACGGACUAAACACGAUCCUGCUGUGAGCCUCAUGCUCUCCUGCUUCCCAGCAGCCCUAUAUAAAUAGCACAGGUUAUUAAUCAUGUCCUGGCUUGUCAAACGAGCUGCCCAGUGCCCUGCUUGACUGCAAAUAUUUUCAAUUGUCCUCAAUGCAUAUAGUUGAGUUAAAUCAUCCUCUCCUUUGCGCAAAAUUGAUGACACCAACGAAAGCAAAGAAUUUGAAACCUGCCCGAGGUAAAAUAAGUUAUCAAUCAAGAAAAUAUAAACAAAAGAGCAGGAAAGAGCAUAACUAAAGCAUAUACACAUACAACAUGGAACUCCAUCUUUUACUCGUGUAAAGAGUAGAAUUACAUGUUGUACAUAGUAUAACAGUCAUUCCUUUUAUCAUAAGGUGCAUAACCAACAAAUUUAUUCCAAUAACGUAGGAAGCUAACCUGCCACCCGGAUGUGGACCGGAUUUCCUUUGAUGGAGACUCUGCUGGAUUGUUGUCUCCAGCUUGCUCACUUUGAGUAGAUAUAUAGAAUAGCAACUCACCUAAAGCAGCCAUAGAAAACCUCCUCACUUUUUCCUGCUUGUCUCUAAGGCCAUCGGCAAGUGAACCCAAAAUUCCAGAAUUUGCCAAAUCAUCUUGAAUAAAAGUAGAAUGGCGAAUCAGCAAACCAACCAGAGAAGCAAGUUGGACACGCAAAGCCAAAGCCUUGGACAGCCGAAGCAUUUUAACAAGCAUAAGCAUGAUAGGUCCAUUGGUCAAGAUAUUGGCGGCCUCAGCAUUAUUGCUUAACAUCUCAAGGUAUCUAAUUACAUUCUGCUUCUCCCCAAUGCUACUGUUCCCAUUAAAAAUGGCUAUAAUCUUAUUGUUGAGUGCAUCCAAAUGGUCUUUAGAGAUUUUCACGAAAUCAGAGGCUUGUAGAGUGUCAAAAGGAAGUGAAGGAAGAACAUCCGAAUUUUUAUCAGAUUUUCUGCUGGGCAUCACAGGUCUGACUGAGAGAUCAGAUGGAUGCCAAAGAACCUGUGAAAGGUUAUUCGAAGAUUUCACAGGAUCAUAUUCCAUUGCAGAUCCUGAACCUUCUUUAAAUCUCUGAUUUUUUAUUACAGGACUGGCACUGGGUGGGAUUACAGCCACUUCAAUAUUAUGAGGAGAUGAUUCCUGAUCAAGUCCUCUUGAGUCAUCUGAGGCAGGCAUAUUAAGCACAGAAAGGGUGUCUGAUUGGUUUGAGUUGUUUUCCAUGUCUUCCACUUUACCCUGGUGCUGAUUCUGACUUGAAAAUUUGUUAUCAGGUGUACAAGCUUGAUUCUCAGACCCAUCAGAUUCAUCCUGUGUGUCAUCUUCAGUGUUCUCAUUAAAGUCAAGUUCCAUGUCAGUGUUCUCAAUUUUGACUUCAGAAUCAUUCUCAGAAUUAGUAGAUACCGGCCUCCGGUAGUUUUCCUUCUCAUUUUCCCUCUGCAGGUUCAUUUUUGCUAUUCUCGAGAGUCUCAAAAGAUUCACACCCCUGGUAGCACCAGAAGGAUCCUUUUUUUCAUCAACCCCUCUUCCAGAAACCUUUGCUUGAGUUCUGCGGCCACCUGGUGUACCCUUGACUGGAGUCUCAUGGCCUUUUGUUCCUAAAGUAGAAUUCUCAUCCUGCUUAAAAGUUUUUUUAACAUCCUUUUGACGAGAUUUAGGAGUCCUGUUUAUGGAAGAUUGAUCACCAUUACGUACUGACAGACAUGGCUUAGCACAUUGCUCUAGCAUAUUAUCAAAAGCAGGCUGAGGAGGUAGAGGCACCGCAUUUAACUUAGUCCUCCAGAAGGCAUGACCACAAAGUUCAGGCCACUGUAUUCUUUCUGCUGGAUCCUUUACGAGUAAAAAAUUUAUUAGAUUGACAAAAGAACGACUAGGAGUGCCAGGUAGAGGAGGCGCCGGAUCUGAGAGGAUGGAUUUUACUAGCUGAGUAAAUUCCCUACCCACAAAGGGAGGCCUCCCAGCAUAGCACUCAUAUAGAACACAACCAAGGGCCCAGAAAUCAGAUGCAUAUGAAUGGACACCCCCCUCUUCAAACAGUUCAGGAGCCAUAUAACAAGGGGUUCCACGUUUUGCUUGUGGCAACUAUACAUGUGCAAGAAGGGAAAGCUUACAUUAGCGUUUUCAUAUUUUGUUGACAAAAAAAAGAAUUGGAAAAUUUCUAAUUAAGCUCAUAUAAACUUCAUCAAAAGAAUUUCAAAUGUUGUGAUAGAUAAGAUAACCUACUGAGGAAGAAGUUGUUUGUGAAAUAUCGCUCAACUUUCUAGCCAAUCCAAAAUCACAGAGCUGCAUUGUGCAAAGAUACUAGUUCAGAUGAAGAGCAAAACAAUUAAAAAAUUAAGAGAAAUAAACGAGCAAAACAGCAUGCCUUAUACCUUGGUACGGCCAUUUUCGUCCAAAAGGAUAUUUGAUGGUUUCAAAUCACAGUAUAUGAUUCCCUUUGAAUGUAAAAACCUAAAAGGAAGUGAUUCCAAGAACAUAACUUAAAUAAAUUAAACAUGUAGAGACUUGUAACAAGAAAUAAAAUGAAGCAAUUGAAGAUUUCUUACAACAAAGCUCUAACAAGGUCACAGCCAAGGUCGUGAAUUGACUCUUCAGGUAGCUGCUUAUCCUGCAAUUCUUCCGUACAUUAUUAGUAUCACAGUGCUAAAAACAUUGUACAUGUUCCAAACCAGCAUUCCAAAUGUAGAAUUUUACGAUAUAACAUGACGCAUGGAAUCGUUAUAAAACAUUGGCACCGUUCUAAGACCAAACAGACUAGCAUAGCAAAUAACAUAUCCACAAGCUUCUACACAUCAAGGCAAUGCAAAGUUCACACUAAGUGAUUAAUACCUGGUUUAAUAAUGUCAUCAAAUUGCCUCCAACACAGUACUCCAAAACUAACCACAAGUGAGCAGAAGUUUCAUACCUAAGCAGUGGCACAAGAAAAAGGAAAUUCACAAAUACAUAAUUCAGUUGUUAGCUGGAACCAAAUAUAAACAGUUAUAUUCAGUCUCAGGAGAAAUUAUCUCAUGAAGAAUACUUACCACCAAAAAAAUUUGAGGAUAUUUUGAUGAUCUAGAGUGUGAAGAAUCUUAACCUGCAUUAAAUCGAAAGUUACAUAACCUAUGCAUAUCUGGAUUUGAAUUCUCCGAACCAAAAUAAUGCCCAAACAUUGCUAAAUCUGAAUUUCGUUCUAGUUUGCUAACUGAAAUUUAUCUACUUACUUCUUGAAGAAGCUUGCUCUUCUGCGAUUUCUCAACGCUCUUAAUCGCAAAGUACUCGAUGGUCUUCUUCUUCCUCCCCUUGUACACAGUCUGUAAAUUCAACAUGAAUCGAAUUAAGUAAGUAACUAACUGAAGUAAAACUGAGCAGUUCAUCGGUGAGUUAAGAUUUAUAAAUUCGACAGAGUUUGAGAAGCAAUGUUACCGAGCAUUUUCCACGGCCAAUGGCUUCGUAUAUGUGGUACUGGUUCAUCUCUAAGCUUUUUCUAGGGUUGCAGAUUUGAAACCAGAGGAGGAUGAUAGUCUGUGAAGGAGAGAGUGAUAGUCUGUGAAGGAGAGAGAGAGAGAGAGAGAGAGAGGCUUGGAUUUGAUUGGAGUGAAAUGGGGCUUUUGUGGGACGAAAGGUCAAAUUAGAGAGAGACUGGGGGAAUGAGUGAGCGGGAACGUGGAAUUUCAUUGAAAAUCAAAAUCAAACGAGGAAUUAAUAGAGAAAAAGCGCAUCGCAUUUUAGGUUUGAGUUGUAACCAAACAGUACAUCCAUCCGUUUCAUUUCAAAAUUUGAAAGCUAGGGGUACUGACUGCCACGUGGCCUGAUUACUUUGCUAUUUUCAACCUGUUUUUGAUAUAGGCAACCCUAAAUUGGAUGUAAAUUUGGGAUUCAAACUUUUUUAUUAGGGUGAUUUUAUUUGCACCCUAAAAUUUGCCAUUUUGACCACACACUCAUUUUAAACAUGAAUAACCUAUUUUACUUUUGGACAUAAUUAACGUUAAGAACAAAAAAUAUUUAAAAUAAAAAUUAAAUUUUCUCAGUACACCUCACAUAUGUUUUUGCAACCUUAGUUAGACUAAUUUCUCAAACCAUCAUGUUCCUACAACCCUAACAGAGUUUAUACGCUUAUAUUGGUGUACCUAGUACUUAUUUGUGAAGGGUGAGACUGAAGUUAAGGAGAACUUCGAAUGAGGUAUGAGUUAAUUUUUUUUUUUUUGGAAGUGUUGAGUUGCAUGGUCAUCGCUACUUACGUUCAGUAGACCAGUACUGAAUGUGAUAGGAAAAUUCAGUGGCUAUCCACUGAAACAUUGAACCUAUUUUAGUUGUAUGUGACCGACCGUUAACUUAGGAUACGGUGGAGUUCCACUGUAAACUGGGAAUGAGUUCAGUAUCGUAUGACUGAACUGUACCAAGUGCGAGUAGAUGAGUUUAAAUAACUUAUGGGAGUGGAGAAUAUAGCUACUACAAAUACGGUGAUCAUAAUGAUUGAAGAAAUGCACCCAUUAUGGAUACGUUGGCCCUUCAUACUGAAGAACAAUUGGUGUCCAGGGGCACUGAUGAAGGAGAACCACAUAAUUUUUUUCUUCGUAUAUUCCCACAGACGGCGUCAAACUGUUGAUGCUCAAAAAUGGAUGGCCAAGAUUGAACGAAAUAUAGAGAUGAGAUAUGAUAGUUGAUGGCUGAAGGUGAGGACCUUCAGCAAAUGUAUGUGCCUUCGGUAGGCAGGGGGAAGGUGAAGAGCUUCCAUAGACAAUGACAUGAUGAAAAUGAAGAUGUAUGUAAAAGACAGAUAUGCAUGGCUCACCUUAAUGAAAUGAGCUACGUCCACGGAGAAGUAUAUUCUCAUUAUAAUAUUGUGUAUUUACAUAGUACAAAGGGUUUGACUCGAAGAAAAUGGAAUGGAAUGAAGGCCUGAAGUUGAAGACCAAGGAUCAGGUAAAAGGCCAUGGAUCUGAAGGCCAUCCUCUAGCCCAUUUCUAAGUGGAGAGUGGUCUCCUUUUAUAGGUGAAGGGGAGCUUCCAUAAAACUGUUUUGUAAAUGUGGGACUCUUUGCAUUACUCCUAGCUUGCUUGGUCAGUCACGGUAUCAACAAAAUUCAUGGCUUCAGCCAUAUGUGAGAAAAAGCAAGUUGUUGAGUACAGCUUACUAUCUAUGCAAUGGAUCUCGAGGAGAGAAAUGUGUUGUUCUUCAUUCUUGAUAACCCAAAAUUGCAGACAGUCAGAAAAUACAAAAGAGAUAAAGAACCCCCUUCAAAUUGGGCUCUAUAAUACAAAUGAAACUGGAGAUAAGAACCACCUUCAAGUUGGCGAUUGAAGAGUAGAAAGAUAAAACACGAAACCGGGAGAUCAAGAUAAACACAUACAUAAAUUAAACAAAAGAAAUUUUCAUUUCAUUUAAAUAUAAGCUCAUUUUCCUUUACAUUUACAUUUUUUUUUCUUUGGAUCAAUAAUCUUUCUUUACAAUAGGAGCUAGAAACUGCCCUAAAUACCUAAGCCUUAAGCAGCGGCCUACAAUCCUACUUUUAUCUUUAUUACAAUGAGAGCCCAACUAGAGCCAAAACCUGCCCUAAGUACCUAAACCUUAAGCCGCUGCCUACAGUUCUACUUUUAUUUCUAUUUUUUCCUUCUCUUCUCUUUCUUCCUCCUUUUAUUUGUGGUAAUCAGCAAGAUUCACAACCUACAUCUUUAGUUCCAGUUUCCAUAUUUCUUUCUUGAUAUGGUUCAACUCCAAAAUAUCUUUGAUCUUCUUUUUUUUUUGGUCAAGCGAAACAGUGUGACUCACAAACCAUGUCUGCCAUUUUGAUUUCUUGGCAAGUGGAUAAAUAUGUAGAAGAUGGCAUCUUUAGAUUUGAUGAAAAAUUUGUUGUAGGAGAGAGUAGCGUUCAUUGCCUCAUUUACAUGUUCCUCAGCAACUAACAAGCCAUUUGUUACCUUUCUGAAAUUUGAGAGAGCAACGUAAGAAGCAAUUGGCAUAUUCUUGGUGAAUGGGUAACUAAGGCUUGGCUUUGGGGAGGGUUUUGCUUGCUUUGAUUUUGAAUUGUGCUAUGUUAGCCUCCACCCACCUACACUCUCUCCUUAAAUAAAGCAAAAUGCUCUUGGUCUCAAUAGGUAGCUGUCACGUUCACCUCAACCACAUGGCUUCAUAUUUCUCUUUAAGAUGGUCCACUUUUGUACAAAAGUCAUAAGAAGUCAAAUGUGGUAAAGGGCCAAUGGACAAUUAAAGAAGAUAGGUACAAAACUUUAAUUCCAAUACAUCAAUAUGGCUACAUUUUGGCUAGUUUUAUAUGAUCCUAAGCUUUAAGCAGCAGCCUACAGUACCUAAGCCUUAAGCCGCAACCUACAGUCCUACUUUUAUUUCUAUUAUAAUGGGAGCCCAGCUAAAGUCAGAAACCGCAGCCUACAGUCCUACUUUUAUUUCUAUUUUUUUCUUCUUUUCUCAUUCUUUCUCCUCUUACUCAUGGUAAUCAAUUGGAUUCACAACCACCAUCUUCAGUUUCGUUUUCCAUACUUCUUCCUUGAUACGGUUCAACUCUAAAACAUCUUUGAUCUUCUUGUUUUUUUUUUGUCAAACGAAAUGGUGUGACUCACAGACCCUGUCUGCCAUUUUACUUUCUUGGCAAGUUGGAGGAGUGUGUAGAAGAGGUCAUCUUCCGAUUUGAUGAAAAAUUUGUUAUAGGAGAGAGUAGGGUUCAUUGCUUCAUAUACAUGUUCCCCAACAACCAACAAACCAUUUGUUACCCUUCUGAAAUUUGAGAGAGCAACGUAAGAAGCAAUUGACAUUUUCUUGGUGAAUGGGUAGCUAAAGCUUGCUUAGGGGAGAGUUUUGCGUGCUUUGAUUUUGAAUUGUGCUAUGUUUGCCUCCACCCACCCACACUCUAUCCUUAAAUAGAGCAAAAUACUCUUGGUUUCAAUAAGUAGCUGCCACCUCCACCUCAACCACAUGGCUUUAUGUUUCUCCUUAAGAUGGUCCACUUUUUUACAAAGGUCAUAAGAAGUUAAAUGUGGUAAAGGGCCAAUGGACAAUUAAAGAAGACAAAUACAAAACUUUAAUUGCAAUACAUCAAUAUGGCUACAUUUUGGCUACUUUAAUAUGAUCCUAAUCUUUAAGCGGCUACCUAUAGUACAUAAGCCUUAAGCGGCAGCCUGCAGUCCUACUUUUAUUUCUAUUAUAAUGGGAGCCCAGCUAAAGCCAAAAACUGCCCUAAGUACUUAAGCCUUACGCUGCGACCUAUAGUAUUAUUUUUAUUUCUAUUUUUUUCUUUUCUUCUCAUUCUUUCUCCUCUCACUCGUGGUAAUCAACUGGAUUCACAACCACCAUCUUUAGUUUCAUUUUUCAUACUUCUUCCUUGAUAUGGUUCAACUCCAAGGCAUCAAUGAUCUUCUUGUUUUUUUUUUGUUAAACAAAACGGUGUGACUCACAGACCCUGUCUGCCAUUUUUACUUUUUUGGCAAGUUAGAGGAGUGUGUAGGAGAAGUCUUCUUCAGAUUUGAUGAAAAAUUUGUUAUAGGAGAGAGUGGCGUUCAUUGCUUCAUUUAUAUGUUCAUCAGCAACCAAUAAACCAUUUGUUACCUUUCUGAAUUUUGAGAGAGCAACGUAAGAAGCAAUUGACAUUUUCUUGGUGAAUGGGUAGCUAAAGCUUGGCUUAGGGGAGAGUUUUGCGUGCUUUGAUUUUGAAUUGUGCUAUGUUUGCCUCCACCCACCCACACUCUAUCCUUAAAUAGAGCAAACUACUCUUGGUCUCAAUAGGUAGCGGUCACCUCCACCUCAACCACAUGGCUUUAUGUUUCUCCUUAAGAUGGUCCACUUUUGUACAAAGGUCAUAAGAAGUUAAAUGUCGUAAAGGGUCAAUGGAUAAUUAAAGAAGACAUGUACAAAACUUUAAUUACAAUACAUCAACAUGGCUACAUUUUGGUUAAUUUUAUAUGAUCUUAAGCUUUAAGCGGCGACUUACAGUACCUAAGCCUUAAGCGGCGACCUACAGUCCUUCUUUUAUUAUUAUUAUAAUGGGAGCCCAGCUAGAGCCAGAAACUGCCAUAAAUACUUAAGCCUUAAGCCGCGGCCUACAGUCCUACUUUUAAUUCUAUUUUUUUUUCUUCUCUUCUCCUUCUUCCUCCUCUUACUCUUGGUAAUCAGAUGAAUUCACAGCUACCAUCUUCAGUUUCAUUUUCCAUACUUCUUCCUUGAAAUGGUUCAACUCCAAAUUUUAUUUUAUUUUUUGGUUUUUUGUCAAACAAAACAGUGUGACUCACAGAUCCUAUUUGCCAUUUUGCUUUAUUGGCAAGUUGGAGGAGUGUGUAGAAGAGGUCAUCUUCAGAUUUGAUGAAAAAUUUGUUGUAGGAGAGAGUAGCGUUCAUUGCUUCAUUUAUAUGUUCCUCAGCAACUAACAAACCAUUUGUUAUCUUUCUGAAAUUUGAGAGUGCAACGUAAAAAGCAAUUGACAUUUUCUUAGUGAAUGGGUAGGUAGGGUGUGGCUUAGGGGAGGGUUUUGCUUGCUUUGAUUUUGAAUUGUGCUAUGUUUGCCUCCACCCACCCACACUCCUUAAAUAUAGCAAAAUGCUCUUGGUCUCAAUAGGUAGCUGUCACCUCCACCUUAACCACAUGGCUUCAUGUUUCUCCUUACGAUGGUCCACUUUUGUACAAAGGUCACGUGGUAAAGGGCCAAUGGACAAUUAAAGAAGAUAGGUACAAAAUUUUAAUUCCAACCCAUCAAUAUGGCUACAUUUUGGCUAGUUUUAUAUGAUCCUAAACUUUAAGCGGUAGCCUACAGUACCUAAAUCUUAAGCGGCAGCCUACAAUCCUACUUUUAUUUCUAUUAUAAUGGGUACUCAGCUAAAGCCAGAAACUGCCGUAAGUACUUAAGCCUUAAGUCGCGGCCUACAGUCGUACUUUUAUUUCUAUUUUUUUCUUCUCUUCUCCUUCUUGCUCAUCUUACUCGUGGUAAUCAACUGGAUUCACAACCGCCAUCUUCAGUUUCAUUUUCCAUACUUCUUCCUUGAUAUGGUUCAACUCCAAAGUGCAUGCACAUUGGUAUACACGGAAAAAUGCCUUCUUAAUUGCAUACACAUUAGUAUACAAAAAAUGCCUAUUUUAUUUUACGUGCAUAUGCAUACACCCUUUCAAAAUACAAAAUAAAUUUCAUUUUUCAUUGUUGACAUUAAUUUGUUAGAUUUUGCCUAAUGGUCAAACUUGUUUUCAAUUCCUAUAUUUAUUGUGGUUAUAAAGUUGUUAAUACUGUUGGGUGACUAUUGUCGUUAACAUGGCCACCUUUAUGAAAUUUAAUAACUUUUUUUUUUGUCUGUUAAUAUUGUCAAAUUUGAUGAAAAUUUUGAACAACGUUAAUUGCUUCAUUUACAUGUUCCUCAGCAACCAACAAACUAUUUGUUACCUCUCUAAAAUUUAAGAAAGCAAUGUGAGAAGCAAUUGGCAUUUUCUUGGUGAAUGAGUAGCUAGGGCUUGGCUUGUGGAAAGGUUUUGCUUGCUUUGAUUUUGAAUUGUGAUAUGUUUGGGUCCACCCAUCUACACUCUCUCCUAAAAUAGAACAAAAUUCUCUUAGUCCCAAUAGGUAGCUGCCACCUCCAACUCAACCACAUGGCUUCAUGUUUCUCACCAAGAUGAUCCACUUUUGUACAAAGGUCAUAAGAAGUCAAAUGUGGUCAAGGGCCAAUGGACAAUUAAAGAAGAUCGGUACAAAACUUUAAUUACAAUACAUCAAUAUGGCUACAUUUUGGCUAGUUCUAUAUGAUCGUAAGCUUUAAGUGGCGGCCUGCAGUACUUAAGCCUUAAGCGGCAGCUUACAAUCCUACUUUUACUUCAAUUACAAUGGGAGCUCACCUAGAUCCAGAAAUUGCCCUAAGUACCUAAGUAUUAAGCCGCGACAUACAUUCCUAUAUUUGUUCCUGUUUUUUUCUUCUUCUCUUCUCCUUCUUCCUCCUCUUACUCGUGGUAAUUAGCUGGAUUCAUAGCCACCAUCUUCACUUUCAUUUUCCAUACUUCUUCCUUGAUAUGGUUCAACUCCAAACCAUCUUUGAUCUUCUUACUUUUUUUGUCAAACGAAACGGUGUGACUCACAGACCCUAUCUGCCAUUUUGCCUUCAUGGCAAGUUGAAGAAGUGUGUAGAAGAGGUCCUCUUCAGACAGGUCAUAGAAGCUGAGAUAUUAGUUUUUUAUUUUUUGCCUUAAGCUUGUAGUGACUAAAGGUUUGUCAAAGGUGAUUGUUGAGAUGGAUUCAGCGAUUGUUGUCCACCUUCUUCAACAACAUUAUUUUGAUUGAUUCACACCCACUUGCUGGCCUAGUUGUUAGAUGUGAGGAAGUUAUGAACCAGAUUGAGACUUAUGUGGUGCAGCAUAUUUUUAGAGAGAAAAGUUGUGUGGCUGAUUGUCUUGCAAAUGAGAGUUACAACAUGGGGUUGAGAGUUCGCUAUUUUAAUUCAGCUUCGGAUUGGAUAAUAUCUUUAUUAGUUGAUGAUUUGGUAGGGGUUUCUCGUACCCAGUUGAUGAGUAGUACUACAAUGUAGUUUCUGUGUUUGGGGUUCUUGCCCAAGAUCCCGUUUGGCUCAUGGGAAAUGAGACUUGGGAAUGGAAAAUCAAUUACUUUCUCAUGUUUGGUAAGUCCAGGCAUGGGAAAUUGUUGCAUGGCCUAUGAGAAAGUAGGGGGGAAAGUGAAGCCAUCCUCCCAACUUAGGUUUUGUUUUCCCUCAUCAUUGGAAAGUUUGGGAAAAUGAGCCAAUAUUAAAUAAAUAUUUUUCAUGACCAUUUUGUCCCCAUUAACAAUUUAGAAUUACAAUAUAUCAUUAAAUGCAUUCUUUUUAUUAUUUGGUUUAGUAUGGGUAUAAUUGAAAAUUUAUACAAACUUUGUUUUCCAUUCCUACUCAAAACAAAUAUGGAAAAUGAAAUAAAGUGAUAUCUCCUGGUUACUUUCCCAGCAUUACCAAACGUGGGAAAGGAAUCUUCCAUUUCCCAACCCUUGGGAAAUAAUUUCCCAUCAAAUUCAUUUCGUGAACCAAACAGGGACAUAGGGUAGUUACUAGACAAAAGUUUAUAUGUGGGGCACGCAUCAAUUAUAGUUCCUUUGAUGUCAUCUCCAACGGCUACAAGCAAAAUAAAUUGAUGUUGUUCUUGUUUUUUUUUCAAAAAUCAUAUCUUCUCUGAAUUUAAACAUUUUGAGGUUUAUUUGUUUGAAAAAAAUAAAAUAAACCUAACACACACAAAAUUAAUUUUAUAAAAUUAAUAAAAAACAUAUUUAGAUUUAUAUCUUCCUCAUUGAAGCAAAAAUCAUAUUUACAACUCAGGAAGUAGAGGUGUCAAACGAGUUGGCCCGGGCUGGCCCGUCCCAUUUAAACUCUUGCUUUUAAGGUCUUCGUGUCGGGCUAGCUCGGCCCAUUUAAUUUAUCAGGUCAUGCCAUGUCGGUCCAUUCAGUAAAAUCAUUGAUCCCAGUCCAACCUAAAGCCCAUGUCCAUAUUGGAACAGGUUGGGCCGUGCUCUUGCCUUGCCCGUACUCAUGCCAUACUCGGGCCCAAGAACCAACCCAUUUAAUUUGAAUUUUGUUUCACUUGAUUUUUUUUCCUACUAGAUAAUUCAAAUUAUAAACAUUAAAAAUGUAAUUAGAGGCAAGAAAUGAUGAACUAUUUGAAAACAUUAAUCAAUCAAACAUCCAAACAAUAUGAAACAACAGAGGGUAAAAAGUGUUCAACUCCAACUUUUCAGCUUUAAACAACGUAUUAUUUUAUAUGCGAAGAAACAUCUUGCUUUGAUUAUAAAAAAACAUCUUGCUUUGAUUAUAAGAGAAGCGUAUAUGUCAUAUGUACUGAUUAGAUAUCAAGUCCAAUGUUGUUUAAUUAAUUUGUAAUUGAUAUGUUUAAUUAAUUAAGGACCCAAGUAAUUUCACUAAAGUGAAAGAAAUCAAAUAUAUGUUUAUGAUUAAAAAAAACCAUAUAAACAAUGACAUUAGAUGUCAAAUUACUGCAUUUUGACUUUUGAGAAGAAAAAAAAUGUUAAGUGGGUCGAGAUCGGGCCGUUUUGAAGCGGGCUUGAGCUUGGGCCGUGCUUGAAGCAGGCUCGGGCCAGGGGCUGGCUCGGUCCAUUGGACCUCAUUUUUAUAUCCCAGCCCGGCCCAUGUUUUCAUGUCGUGCCAAUGAUAACCUACUAAUAUUCUUGUUCGUGUCGUGUCGUGCUUCAUUUAAACAGGCUAGGCCGGCCAGUCCCGUUUGACACCUCUACCUGGAGGUGUAAAAGGGAUGUAAAAGUGACUUUACAUCCACGAAAAUACACCCCCCACUGUGAAUGCUCUAACAAAAAGAAAGAACUAAGACUUACAAGUGCAGUUACAUUAUUGAACAAUAGCAACCUAUGCAUUGACAACUACACACAACUUGCCAACCACAAUCUAGCAACCUAGUAAAUGCAAAUACCAAUUUCAGGAAAUAAUACCAAUGAUAGCAGCAUAUGAAUAAUAAAGUUGAUUCUCUCGAUUCCCCACAGUAAAUUUUGAAAAGCGUGACACCAGCGAACCAGCAUCCCUUGGCUUUGAUAUAACCUGGACAUUCUUGCAUCAUCUUCUUACUUGUGUAUACUUUUGUCCCCUUUAUUGCUUGUGGCUUGUGUACUUAGUUAAUAUUAAUUAAUUGUUAACUUAGUUAAUAUUAAUUAAUUGUUAACUCUUUGACAAUCUUGUGAUUAAUGAAUCAAACAGCCCUUUGAAAAGGAUUUUGGAUUGUUUGAGUGUUUCGAACAAAACAAAAAAAUUGUUUGAGCGUGGUGCUUCUUGUAUUAGUCAAUCAAAUAGGCUAUCAACUAUGUGACUUAUUUAGUGGAUUGAAGCAAUAUUUUUACAUAUUCAUAGCGUAUGAGGAUUAUUGUGUCUCAUCCUAAAUCUUUCACAUUGCGGACAUAACAUAUAUAAAUUAUGUGUUUGUUAUAAAAUUGGAUAUAGAUUAUGUGUUUGUUAUAAAAUUGGAUAUAGAUGGUUGUUGGGAUGUAUAUUGAACUUGGGAUGGUGGAGAAAUUGGAAAAGCUACUUGUAGAUUUAAUGGAGACCAAUCAAGUCUCAGAAGUUUUGUUACUAGGGGUGGCUGUGGGUAAGGAUUAUGGUGGAUAGGGGGUAGGGAAGGAUGGUCGUGGGUAGGUAGGAAGAUUGGGGUGACUGGGAUGAUGGGUAGAGUUUUUAAUUAUGUGAAAAUAUUUUUUCUUAUUUUUUUUAAAAACUUUUAAUUAUUAUAAUAUUUUAAUUAUAUUUUAUCCAAGUGGAGAAGGUGGGCUCCACUUGACACUUCACUCACCUAAUUGGUGGAUGAUGAUUCAUGUGUAUGAAAUUACACAAAUACCCUUGCCACGUCAUCAAAGUUAACAGACUUUUAGAUCGAGUUGACGGAAGGGGCAAAGUGGGUCACAAACCUCGGUUAAGGGAUGAAAGUUGGUCAUUUUGAAUUUAGGGGGCAAAGUGAGAUUUAACCGAAGUUUCAAAGGGCACUACAGUAAAUAAGCAUUUAAUUAACUAAUUAUUAAGUAGGGUUUUAAGUGUUUUUGUUUACCUAAUUUAAGUUAUUUUUUUAAGUAUGCUCGUGAAGUGCAAACAUAAGCAUAAUACAUUUAUUUACUUAUAUAAUGUGGAAGCCUAUUUUAUGUAUGAUACGUUUUCAUAUAAUGGUAAUAGUAAUCCCAUGGUAUAAGGUUAGAGACUUUUAAUAAAUGGAAAUUGCAUUAUUUUUUUAAUUAUAGAGAUUAGGGGUGGGACUUCUAACAAAUGCAAAUUGGAUGAGGAUUAUGUUCAGAUUGUGUCUCAUCCUAAAUCUUUCAUAUUGAGGAUAUAACAUAUUAGAUUGGAUCUGGAUUUUGUAUUUGUUAUAAAAUUCUCAAGACACAACUCAAGUUGGUUUUAUAAUGGUAAGUUCUAACAUUUUGACCAAGAUAUAUAAAAUAAAUAAAUAAAUUCUUACAUUAAAUUAUAACGUUUGGUAUGAAAACAAGUUAUAUCAUGCAUUUGAGCUAGAUUAAUUAAUUGUUAUUACCUAUUUGUAGUUAACUUUUUUUUCUCUAACUUGGCAAUUUGACCAAAAUGUGUUCCCUUCUAAACUUGUCUUGGUUUUUUGAUAGCAUAGUUUUCAUUUUGGCAUGUAAUUGCAGUUAGAUUAUAAUGAUGACAUAACCCAACAAUGGCAAACCCUACAAUAUGAGGCAACUCCACACAACUUCCCAACCACACUCAAAUUACAAAAUACAAAUACCAAUUUGAUGAAUAAUAGUAAUACUAAAGAUAGAUACCAAUCCCAGCACUGAAAGAAUAAAAACUUCCUACGCAAAAUUAAUUCUCUGAUAUUGGUUUGGUUAGUAUGACAAGCAACAUGAGUAAAAAAUAAUUAAAUAAUAAUUUAUGCAGGCUAUAAUGAUGAUGAGCUCGACUAUAGGUCUAACGAGUCAACUUGUACAACUUUCUGAUGUCAGGCGCAUCACCAUUCACGUGAUUGAGAGUGACCAACAUCAACAAAUACAAACCCUUUGUUCUAUUAUCUUUUAACUGAACUAUUUUUUGACAAGAUUUUAAGUGAACAUAUACAUGAAGAAAGCAUUCGUUGAAUACGCAAGUUUAUUUAAACUUGAUAUGUAUAAGCUAAUUACACCAAUAGUUUUCAUUGAUGAAUAAGAGAGAGACAAUUUACUCAGGAUACAUCAUACACUAAUUAGAAAUAUAAGAUAAUUAAUAAGCCAAUUACAAUAACAAAAAAUAAUUCACACUAAUUAGCUAGUCAAUUGGUCUCAUUUUGCUUGAAACCAAUUGACUAGCUUGAAAGAAAAACAAAAUGUCUAAAGAGAAGCUAUAUAUUUAAAACUAAUAGAAGUUGGUUUUAUAAUGAUAAGUUCUAACAUUUUGAUCAAGAUAUUUUUUUUUUUAAAGUGCUAACAUUAAAUUAUGAUAUUUGGUAUGAAAAUAAGUUAUAUCAUGCAUUUGAGUUAUACUAGACUAGAGUUCAUGGACCAUUUUACAUGACUUUUGCCAUUGUAUUGGACUAAUUCUCUAAAAAAACAUUAUUAAUAAGUAAGUAAAUCAAACAUAUUCCCCUGAAUUACAAGAAUAUUGAUGAUCUCUAUAACAUGAUAUGUGGUUGACAACUACACAUUGAUAUAGGCGGCAUCUAAAUUCUCUAGUUUGCAAAGCAUAUUGAUGCAGAUUUUGUCUAUCUUCUCUUUAUUCAAGUUUUACUUAAAUUUUCAACAAAAAAAGUGUUUCAUAACAAAGAGAAAGAACGAAAACUUGCAACUGCAGUUACAUUACUGAACAAUGGCAACCCAUGCAUCUGGUAACUCCACACAACUUGCCAACUACAAUCAAAUGGAAAUUGCAUUUGAUAUAAUGUGGAAGCCUAUGUUAUGUGUGAUAAAUUUUCAUAUAAUGGUAAACUAAUAGUAAUACCAUUAUCUGGUUUAGUCUACCAAUUCCAUUCACAAAGGAUAGAUGUCUUCGACAUGCACCUAAGGGGCUCGCAUUCCUGUAGUUAAAUCCAAAAAAAAAUUGAGGUUCAUUACCAUAAACCAAACUUAUAUUGUGCAUUUUUAUGUUACAGUAAAACAAAUGAGCUAGUUAUUCCAAAUUGCAGAUGUUAUGUGAGUUUGAAAACUCGUAAGCAAAGAUGGAUCAAUGGGACCCACUUGAGAUGGCUUAGUAGGCUCGACAUCUACCUCAACAUUAGUACCAUGAGCAGCAGCUGGAUCUUCAACCUAUUUAGUAUCCUCGGAGUGGUAUAGGAGACCAUAAUGGGGUUGGUCCUCUUGAGGGGCUAACCUCACCACUCCAUGUCUUUUCGUUGAGGUUGUGGAAUGCACUCUAUCAGGUCGACAUUAUGCAGCCUCAGUAGUACCUCUACGACUCCUUUUUAUAUAUGAAAAAUAAUAUUAAGUACAAACUCAUAAACGAAUUUGGUAGAUUACCAUUGAAAAACUAAAACUAAUUCGAUAGACUACCACCUUUAUUGUACCAUGAGUAGCAGCUACAUCUUCAACCUCUAUUGGCCAUUCGUCUUAUAUGCUUCAUGUUAUUAAAAAUUGUGUUUUUCCUUUUAUGUAAACUCUUGUUAUUAAAAAUUGUGUUUUUCCUUUUCGGUAAAACUCUUACUCAAACCCUUUAAAUAUAAAUAAUAAAUAAAAUAAAGCUUUAAUAGUAAAGUAAAAAUAAAAAAAAUAAAUGAAUAAGUCAAAUAAGUCAAAAGUAAGAAAGCAAGCCUGGUAUAGUGAAAGCACAUUAAAGACACUGUCCUAAAACCUUUAUAGCCUCCCUAUGUGCAGGUAAUGACGGUCUACAAGACUCCAAAAUACGACCCCAAUACGCAGGCUCAAGAUCCGCUAUGAGCACGUUCAUAGUCGGAUAGAAAUCUCCAAGCCAUAGAAUCGUUGCCCAAAAAUAAUAAUAUGAAAAGUAAAUAAUAUAUGAAAGUAGGAGUAUAUAGAAAUCAGAUUGUGGUGUGUUCAAAUGUGAAGGAAGGGUGGCCUUUUAUAGGCAUCUAACACUGGUAACCUCCAGACACAUUAAAACCAGAAAAAUUAAGGCAAUAUAAAAUAAAAACUGAAAAUAAAAACAAUUGUAACUCCCAUAAUAAAUAAAAGAAAACAGCCAAAAUAUUAAAACAAAAUUAAAACGUUAAAUUUUAAAAACCUUUCAAAUAAUAACACUUCCUCUAUGUACAAAAGCAAAUACAUGCAUGUCAAAACUUUUGAUUUGACACAUACAUGUGGAACAUAUACUACGAAUAGACAUGCCACUGGAUGUUCAGUCUUCAUUUAUAUAGGGGUUAAUCGUUUUAUUAGUCCCUGAAUUUAGACCCGAUUUGCAUUUGAGUCUCUCAAUUUUCAAAAUCGUUCCCGUGAUCAUUUAACUUCAGUUUCGUUGGGACAAAUGGUCAUGCCGUCAAUUUUGUUAACUUUUCUAUUAAAUGCAGGGGCAAAAUGGUAUUUUUGUAUUAAAUUGAUGAAAAUAUGAAUACAAAAUUAAAAUUAAACUCUCUCUAUAUCCCCCUCUAUUCCGAUUUUUACUCCCCAAAAACUUGAUUUUUUUUUUGAGGGUUUUUUAUUUGAUUUGAUUUUAUUGUUCUUUUAAAGAUGUUAUUUUUUAUUCAUUUUUUUGUUUUAAUAUAAAAAUACCAUUUUAACUCUGCGUUUAAUAGAAAAAGUUAACAAAAUUGACGGCAGAACCAUUUGUCCUAACAAAAGUGAAAUUAAAGGACCACGGAAACGAUUUUGAAAAUUGAGGGACUCAAAUAUAAAUUAGGUCUAAAUUUAUGGACUAAUAAAAUGAUUAACCCUUUAUAGAGGAAGGAAUAAGCUCCAUCUUCAUAUUUUAAUAUAUCUUCAUUGUUUUGUCCAUUACCCACUGGAUGCUCAAUCUCAUCUGUGUUAGUAUGAAAAUAGUGUUGUCAUUUCCUAGACUCUAGCAUAGGUUGAAAAUUUGUGUGUGAAGAAUUGUUACUAGACGUUUUGGCACAACUCAUUCAACCCCAUACAUCCGAGGCUUGACUUGACCGAUAUGAGAAACUUGAUUUCAGGUAAAUCAUGACAUAAUCAUGCAUUCAUUAUAGGAUUCCUAGUUUCAGUUUUUUGUUUUAUUAGAUAUUGUUUUAAUAGAUAUUGUUUUUCUAUUAAAAAUUGAUUGGUUGGCGUUUUUCAAUAAGAAUCCAUAUUGAACUAAUAUUCAUGUUGGAAAACCAAUUGUGGUCUUCUUAAGAGUCCAAAUUAAGCUAAAAGUUCAUAGUUAUUAUUGAAGUGGGUUUGGUACUCGUGUGCGGUCAUCUGACUAGGUAUAGGAAGCUUUGAUUAAAAGCAGCUUGCAUCUCUUUGGUUUUUUACGGUUUUUGAUAUUGGGUUGAGCAUAUAGAAUUCUCAAGAAAAAGCUGUUGUGCACAUAUUUGAGAUAAAUCAUCAAGUGUUCCAUAUUUACUUGGUGAUUUAUCAAACACUUUAAUCAUUUAUAUUGCAUUCAUAUGCAUGUCGGUGACUCAUACGGUUGAGUGCACUAAGACCGUGGUGGCGGUUUUCCUCCGGCGAGCUUGAAACAAUCGUGGCCAGUAUUGCGUUCAACAUAAGGAGUGUCGAAGAUCAUCCUGUGACAGAAGUUGAGUUACAAAGAAGUCGGUAAACAUUAUCUAGAAUGAGUCUAGGAUAAGUGUGUGAGUACUUCCUGUAAUCAUCGUUCUAUAGUGGAUUUGAGUUGGACUGAGGAGUCCCGUGGAUUUUCCCCAGAGGUGGGGUUUCACCACGUAAAAUAAUUCUCUGCGUGUUCUUUUAUUUUAAGCUUUACACAUCUCAGGAUUGAUAACUAAUAUCAAUCCUGCUUCAAAGGUUGAUCAUUAUUUAUUGCAAAAAAUUCGAAUUAGCUUGUUUAACCUUCUCCGGGCAUAUAUAGAUAUCCUACAGGUAUUUUCAAUCUGCAUAUAAAAGAAAUCAAAGAAAGCAACCAUUUGACAUGAAAGUGUGAAGCGAUAGCAAUUCACGGCUUGAUAAAAUAAUAUUGUAUUCCUUCUCUCCUCUUUUGACUGGUGCACAUGGGCUGCCACUUUAUUCUUUAUUGAUGCUGGCUGCCCAUUUUUUUUCUUAAUAAAGUUGUAAAGAUAAUAUUAAAAUAAGUAGCUCUAGUAUUCUUUAUUCCUUUCCUCCAAUGAGAUAGUGACACAUGGUGAAUCAACCAAGCUCCCCUGUCAAGGCUCGGUUUCUCCAUUGAUGUAGCUAAUGAAAGUUGGUUAGCAUCAUGCUUAACUCUUUUUCGAACAUGAUUCAAUAUAGGACAGUCUGAGAAGGCAACACUUAUCCAAAUGCUCCCAUAUUUGGAUAUGUUAUACUAAACAUCAGGAAAAACAACUCUCAUGAAGAAGUCAAAUUCAUUUGAGAGGGGCAAGCAAGUCGAAUUGCUCUCUCGGACACACUGAUCGUCACGAGCGACAUCCCUUUGAGCAAGCUUGAGUGUUUAGCACUAUGAGAAUGAUACACUGAUCGGAUUGCUCCCAUAUUUGGAUAAGUUGUCGUACACAUCUGGAGGAAUAAUUACCAUGAAGAAGUCAACUUCAUUUGACUAGUGGAAAGGCCCUAUCAAACAAAAUUUAUCGGAUUGACCAUCACUGGAUUUUUCCUAAACCAACUUCAAUGUUUAUUGUUUGUUUGAAGAUGUUAUACUUAUCCCAUUGCUCUCAAAUUUGGAAACGAUGUAGUAGGUAUCUGUAGGAACAUCUUUCAUGAAGAAAGAAAACUCCAUCGGGCACUUUAAAUCCUUGUCAAACACAAUAUAUCUACUGAUACUGAAAUGCCUCUUGCAUAUGUUGCAGUUUUUGUUCGUUGGAGGAUGCAAUACUUGUUCAAUUGCUUCCAAAUGUAGACACGUGACAGUAGACACUGAAGUGAACAACUUUCAAGAAGAAAGAAACUUCAAUUGAGCAAUGAAAAUUCCCUGUCGGGCACAAUUCAUAUGACUUCAGUUAUGCUUAGCCAUGAGUUUGGCUAUAUUUUUGUUCAAAGAGCAAUAUCUCCUAUUCUAAGACAAAAAUUCUAUUUUUGGUCCAAACAGUAAUAUAUAUGGAUUGAUAGGUGGAAUCCAUCCAAUAGUCCAAAUUCGAUAAUUAGAUUUGAAUUUGAAUUGAGGUAUAUCCAAUUCGAAUCCGAUCCGUUUACAAGCCUAAUUAAGGUUUGCUUGACAAUAAAAGCUUUUGAAUAUAUGAAUUCUUGAAUUGAUAUUUAUUUAUAUUUACUAAAAUAAAGAAUUGAUAUUUAUGUCAAUUAAAAAAUAAAAUAAACAAGAAUGUAUUUAUCUUGCUUAUUUUAUAAGAGCAUCUCCAAGAGAGAUAUCAAAUACCAAACAUCAAAUUUAAAUUUGAUGAAUGAUGUUGUAAUUUGACAUCUUACACAACUUUACACUCUACCCGAUACGUUAAAUUAAAUUAUUAUUUUAUUAUAUUUUAGUGUUGAUUCAUUUUUAAUUAAAAAGAAAAAGAAAAGAAAAAAUAAUAAGAUAUUCAUUUGACAUCUUGCUUUUGGGAUGUCAAAAAUAACAUCUCAAUCUCCAGCUUUCAUUCUACAUCAAUUUUGACAUAUCAGUUGGAGUGAUAUGAGAUGUUAUUUCUAGCUGUUAAAUGUCUAUGUAGCACAUUUGACACAUCGGUUGGAGAUAACAAAAAUUGAAGGUCAAAGUUGCUUAAACCGAGUAGUCAAAUCCUACAUGAAUUUGAAGGCUGGAAAAGAUAUGUGAAAAAUAACAUAUCAACCCACUACCAUUUCUUCUCUCUUUAAAACUUUAUGCAUCAUAUGAGCCCCAUUUGCUUUAAAAAAUAUAAUAAAAUAAUAUGAUAUUUGAUAUUUUGGGUGGAGUUAAAUUUUUUCCAAAGUAUCAAAUUGCCACAUAAGCCAUCAAAUUCAAAUUUAACAUUUUGCAUUUGACAUCUCUCUUGGAGAUACUCUAAAUUUCAUAAUUUAUCUUUUUUUUUUUUACGUGUGUAGUCUUUAGUUAAAUGUAUAUAUUAUUUUAUGGUAAGCAAUCGAGCACGUUAUUUUUUUUGGUGAAACGGAGCACAUAAUUUUUUUUGGUGAAAUGGAGCACAUUAUUUUAUGGUAAGUAAUUGAGCACAUUUAUUUAUAACCUGAAAAAAUCCAGUACAUUUUAUCUACGAGCUUGGUUAUGACCAUUUGUUGACAAAUAUGACGAAGAAAAAAAAUGUUUUUCUUUGAGAACCUCAUAGUCUCAUAGACAUAAUAAUUUAAUUUUCUUGAGCCGUACGUGGAGAAAACUUCUAGGCAAAGAAAAAAAAAGUUAAAUGAAAGGGCUAUCUGGUAAUUUAAACGAAGUGAAAGUUUCGCACGCAAUUAUCUCUGUACGUGCUUGCCCAAAGCAAGACACAUUUCUCGGCGAGGGUUUACAGAUUUGCACUCUCUCUCUCUCUCUCGUUCCCUUUCUGUGUAUGAAGCUGACGAGCUCUCACCAGCUUUGCCGUCGAAUUCUGGGCCGGAUCUUCGAUUAGGUAACCCGUUGCGUUUCAAGCUGCACCUUUUCCUUUUGUGUUAUAUCGUCGUCCACAUUUUUACUGUUUUCGAACUCAAACGUCAAAACGCUAAGAAAUCGAAUUGGGAUACUUUCUGGAAAUAUCAAUUUUUGUUUUUCAAGGCCAACAUUUACUUCCUGUAUACAAUUUGCGAUGGUUUUGGUUCAAGCGUUAUCUGUAUUUUACUCAUUUCGAGCUCCGAAUUUCAUACAACAAGGGCCAAGGUAGUGUUUUGGUCAAAAUUUGGGGUUUCUUGUGUGCUUGUGUUAAACUUGACUUGGGUUUUUUUUGUUUAAAUUGAAUUUCAAAAUUGGCUUGAUAGUAUUAUUACUGUAUUCAAUUUUAGAAACUAGUUAGGAAGAUAGCAGUGAUCUAAUUGAUCAAUAUCUCAAAUAGGAAGUAUUUUUAGCCGCCAUUUGAUGUUUUUAAGAAUUUUUUACUUUGCAUUAAAUGAAAUGCACUUAUUUCACCACUGCAUUCAAUGCUUCUCUCUCAUAUUAGUUGAUGGGGAGAGGACUUAUUUUCUUGGAAGACAAUCUAAUGCAUGAGUGUAUGAGAUGUCGAUAAGCAGGUCUAUUGGCUUGGCUUGUCUUAGUGUUUUUUUUAAUAUUUAUUUAUUUAUUACAAUCAGGAGCUCAAAGCUAUUGGUUACUACUGUACAUCAAAAUUGCAAUCCUCAACCAUAUAUGUGAAUGGUGUUUCUGAUUGCAAUCUUGAACCAGAAAAUUCAUUCAUUGACUAUGAUAGCUAUGUUUUACUGCUCUUUGAUUUCACUAAUUGCAUGAUUAGUUCAAAUGAGAUGGCAUCUUCGCAUAAUGUCGAGUUGGAGGCGGCAAAGUUUCUCCACAAGCUCAUUCAAGAUUCCAAAGAUGAGCCUGCCAAACUUGCCACAAAGCUUUAUGUGGUUAGUAUAGUUUUCUCUCGACAAAUUUUCCUUUUAUCUCUUUGCGCUCUCUGUUUACUUCUAUUUGUUAUGACAUCAACGUACAUGUAUUUAUUUACAUUGUUCUUGAGAAAUGCAGAUAUUACAACACAUGAAGUCAAGUGGGAAGGAACAUUCCAUGCCAUAUCAAGUGAUAUCAAGGUAAAGAGUAAUCAUUGUUCACUCUAUUUGAUGGUAUUUUGUUAAUAGUGGACUUAUUUUAUGAUAAUAAGUAAUAUAUGAAAAAUUGCAUGAGUUAUAUAGACCUGUGAAUACCAAUGAUUUGUUAGUUCAGUGGUUGGGAAUCUAUUUGGGCCCUGGCAUGUGGUCAGGGGUUCGACUCUCAUCAAGGUACCUAUCCAGCAAUUUGCCAGUGUUUCCUGCCCCAAAGAUUGUAGGUUUCGGGGGUGGGCCCCAGUUUGGAAGCUGAGUCAGCAACAUCGACAAAGUGGAGUUCUGGGUUUAAAAUGAAAUAAAAUAUAGACACGUAAAUGAAUUUAAAAACUGUGCUAGCAUUGUUAUCAUUUUACAUGGGGUUGGUGAAUUUAGUAAAUCCUCAUGACAAUGAACUUGUAAUCUACGAGCUUGCAACUUCCAAGGACAUGAAUUUUAUGUACUUUAUUAAUCUGGAGGAUGAGGCUGCAUUUUAUUUUAUUCAGGUAUUCACAUCACACGGUGAGGGUAGUUGAAUUGUAUCCAAUAAUAUUGGUUAGGCCAUUAAGUAAUUUACUUGUUUUUGGUAGAAAAUAAUAUUAUUUUAAGAUUAAAUUGCUUUGGUAUAGAAGAUUCUUUUACAUGAAACUAUUUUUUCUGGGUGAGUUGUUCUUAAUUGUCUUGGUUUUUCCUUUUGUUUUAGUAUAUCAAUUAUUGCUGAGGAGAAACGCAACUUAUACCUGAAAUGCCUGCAUUCUCUUACUUGAAUUGUCAAUUGUGUCUUUUUUCCCCAUCAUAGCUUAUCAUUUUCUCUAACUUAUCUUCCUUCAUCCACUAAGGGCCAUGGAGACUGUUAUUAGUCAACAUGGUCUUGAUAUUGAAGCUUUGAAGUCAUCACGCCUUCCUUUGUCUGGUGGAGCUCAAACAGGUAAUUAUUUUCAUUUUAAUUAAACCAAAUCUGCUAAUCAUACUUUUUUGGUGAUGUUGAGAUAACUGUGCAGCCAUUUUUCUGCAGGGUCUUCUCAGGCUGUUGGAGUUUCAAAAGAUUCCAAAACAGGUUUGGCCGAAAAUGAGAUGUCUAAUAUGGACCCGUUUUCUACAAGCAGACCACCUGUUGGCCCUAGCAGUACAGGGCAGGAUUAUUAUCAAGGCUCUACUACUCAUCGGAGUAGUCAGUCUUUUGAUCAUGAAAGUCCAUCUAGCUUGGACUCUAGGUCUGCCAAUUCACAGUCACAAGAAAGGCGUGAUACAGCAAACUGGGACAAACAGGUGAAUCGAAAGGAUGGUAAAAAAGCCACCACUAAGAGGAAGAGGGGAGAUACAUCCAUACCUACAGAACCACAUCUUGAUAACCCUCAACAUCUUGAUACUCGAAAUGCUAUAGUUAAUACGAGGAAGGGAAAGAUAAACAAGGUUGAACCACCGGCUGGUUUCCCAAUUAAAGGUGGUGAAAAUGCUAAUUUUAAUAUUGCUCCAAGUAGUGGUCAAAUGGAACAUUUUACAUCUUUCUCUGGAAGCAUGAGACCACUGCUUAGAGCCAAGCAAGAAGGUCAAAAUUUGAUAGAAAAGCAGUUGGAUUUGACAAACACUAGCAAUUCGAUGUCUCGGGCUCCGAAUGCAAAACUCCCUGAAGAAAUGGAAGUUUCUUCUACUCAUAAUGCUUUAGCACAGCAGCAGGCUGCUCCUGUACCUCUUACACAUGACACUAUGGGUGUGUGGAAUCAAAGUAAAGCUGGGUUUCCAUUUGAUAAGUCUCAAGUUCCCAGGUUUUCUUCUAAUGUUGUUGUCCCAAGUAAUAUGACAGCAGAAAUUCAAAUGCAGCAGUUAACAUCUCCAUCACCUGGAUCAAGUAAGAAUUUGGAAAACAUUGUUUUUAAAGUUGCAGAAUUAACUUGUUGGAAAGCAAUGCACCUGAAUUUUUGUGCUGGAAAAAUUAAAGAUGUUUCAUAUUAAUCAGGAUCAAAAUUGGUAUAGAAAAAUUUGGACCUUGAACCAUGUCCUUAAACAAUCUCCUGACCUCCAGAUUAGUUGAUUUUGAUAUCAACUUUGGUUGAAUUAAAACCAUGAAUUAUCUUUGUUCUUGAAUGGUAUUUUCUCCUUUGUUCAUUUAUUUACAAACGAAGAAACUUUUCAAGUUAGCGAUCAAAAAGAAACUAUUCAAGUUGGGGUUAAUCUUAUUAAGGAGGCCGAACCUCCUCUAAUAUCUCCCGGGUCAUUGAGUAAUUAAGGCUCACAUUAUAUUGUUGGAAAUUCAGGUUCUUUUGGCAAGAUUCAAGGAGGUGUUCCAGUUACAUCUAGUUCAUAUCAAGUGGCAGAACCAAGAUUCUCAAGUCCAAUGCAAUACAGUGGGGCGAUGCCUUCAACUGGAAAGGUCUCUGAGCAUGAUGGAGGAAAUACUAAUAUAUUAGCCGACGCAAAUAAGAUAUUUCAGGUACUCAAUUUCCCCCCUUCUGUUUGCUACUUUUAGGCAAAAUGAGGGCAUUGUGCUCAAUUGUGUCCAUGCUGAACUUCAGUGAUUUGUAGUGUUCUCACAUGAUAUAUGAGGAUGAAGGCGAAAUAAAAGAGAACAUAGCUACUACAAUAUGAUUACCAUAUGUGUUUCUUCUUUGAAAUGUAAGGGCAAACAUGUAGUUCUGAGAAUAUGUGUAUACUGCAUGUGUUCUGUGUGACUUCGAUCCUUUUGUUUUAUCAUUUUGCCCAUCUUCUUAACUGAUGUUGUCUUGCUGUGAUUUGAUACGUGUAGAUUAUUUUUAAAUUUGUUCUGCACAUGAAACCGUUUGCAACUCUACUGUUUGAAAGCUUGUGUAUGUAAUUUGCUUAUGCUACAUUUGUUCAUAGGCUGGAAGGCAAAAUAGUGCAUUAGAAAUGAGUAUGCUGAGAAGUGCAGCUGUGAGGGAUACUGGUAAAACUCCAGUCCACCUGGCUUCUGGCUCUCCUGGCAUGCCUUUCAAGGAACAGCAGUUGAAACAGCUCAGAGCGCAGUGCCUUGUCUUUUUAGCCUUUAGGUAGUUUGUUUUAUUUUCGUUCUGAUGCUAUUCUUUUUGGUAUCUGGUUCAAAUCUUUGUCUUGGUUGGGUUAAAUUGUGGUUUUCUGCAUGCAGAAAUGGUUUGAUGCCAAAGAAACUUCAUCUUGAAAUUGCACUGGGAAAUGUUUUUCCUAAAGAAGGUAACUAUUUUCAAUUUUAUUUUAAUAAAAAGUCCUCAAUUUUUACUAACUUGCCAAGUUGCAGCAACUUUUAUAUUACUGUCCUUGAUGUAUGAAAUUAUAAAAUCUUAGGUGGCAGUACGGAUGGGCCUCGAAAAGAGUUCAUUGACCAUAAAGGAAAAACACAAUUUUCAAAUGAGCCAAACAGCAUUUCUGAUUCCACUACACCAUAUGGAAGACUUAACAAUGAGAGGGAAACUGAUAAAAUGCUUCCCGGUGCCUCAUCCACCGGAAAAUUCCUGGAGACUGACUCUUUGUCAAAAGAAACUGAGAACCCAAAUAUGGAAGAAAAGAAUGGCCCACCUCCGGAUCUCUUUGUUCUCGCUGAAGAAAAAAAGCAUCUUCUUGUUUCACAAAAACCAGAAUCUGAGACACAGACCCUGGAGACCACAGCCUCACCAGCAUGUUUAACCAUGACAUCACAGCAGCCUGAAUCUUCAGGUGCAAGGAGUGGUUUACCUGUUAGUAAUCCUGUGGAAAAUAUGGAAAAUGGACAUUUGCAAGUUGGAAGGGUUAACCAAACUUCUUCCCUAAUGGGUAUGAAUAAGCAGAAUUCUGAGAUAAUCAGCUGGACUGGAGUUGGCAAUCAGAAUGAAGUUUCCAGGGGACUGUUACCAGCCUCUGCUGGUCAGCCAGAGUUGGUGUCUGAAAGAAACAAUAAUGCACCUGGUCAGUUCCCAAAUCUUGGUAGCAGCAGUGCUCUGGGUAGUCAACAUACUGAUAAUCACCCGACUUCUUUUUCAUUUGGAGAUCGUUGGAAACCAAUUUCUGGAAUUGGCAAUGAUCAUCACUCAGCAAGUGCAUCAAAGGACGCUCACAUGAUGCCAAAACACGUUUCUCAUGGUGAGAAUAGUAUAACCAAUCUAUGUCCAGAGUUUUUUUCUUUUGCAUUGAUCUUGCUACUUCUGUUAAUUGUGGUGGUAGGUGAUUCAUAGGUAUCAGAAUUUCAAAAUAAAUGCUUUUUAGUUAUAUAAAAUCAGUUCCUCUUAUUGACACUGAAAAUGACCUCUUUUUUUUUUUUUUUUAACUACAGGACAAGUAAAGGAAGAUAACCGUACUGAUUUGCCACCUUCACCAAAAUACACUAUGUCAGAGAAGUGGAUUAUGGCUAAGCAGAAAAAGAAGCUUCUGGAUGAACAAAAUUGGACUCUAAAACAGCUAAAAGCAAGGCAAAAAAUUGCCACAUGUUUCCACAAGUUAAAGGUCCGUUAGAAAGAUAGUAUGUGACUUCAAUUAUUGUUUAUGUCCUUUUAUUACCAUGACAUAUUUUCCUUAUAAUUCCUGCCUGAUGAUUGGUAUGGGUUUAAUUUAUAGUUAGUAUUAUUGUUUUUCUUUUGGGGGAAGGGGAGUGGGGGCGCAUGAUGGGGUUCUGGAGGUUACUGUAAAACUGAAAUUCAGCUUAAAUAAUCCCCUAACAAAACUUCUGUCAAAUACAAAAGGGAACAUAUGCACAUACUUUAAAUAGAAUUAUAUUUAAAACUGAUACAACUGUGUUAGAAGUUUUAGGGGAAGGAUUGGAUUUAGAAUUCAAGGACUAAUGUCUCUAACUUAAUUGUUUUCUUAUGGAAAAUGUCUCUGGAGUGAUAGCAAUCAUAAUAAAUUUCAAGUAUGUGUACUGUGAAAGAAUGUUGCGAUCCAGAAAAGUUAAACAUGAUGGAUGUAUAAAAUUUGUAUCUUGUUUCUUUGUGAGAGUGGCAUUAAGAAGGUAUUGGUGAAGGAACGCAGUGCUGCUCGAUGACUUGAUCAUGGGGGCUUUGGAUAACAUAAAAAUUCUCUCUCCUGGAAUGAUGGAAGAAUGGAAAUCUGGGUGUCAGUUUACCUCUUUAGUAAGAUUGGCACCUCAUAGCUUGAUGUGAGGAUCACGAAUUAAAAAAUGAAUAAAAACUUUAAUAUAACUAUCUGCUGCCGUGUAAGUUGUGUGUUAUGCUCUGCAAUCUUAGUUGUGUUUGGAUAGCGCUGAACAGAGUUGCACAAGAAAAGUUUUUGGGCACAUAAUAAUGUUCACAUCACUGAAGGGAUAUUUAUAUGAUUUGCUUGUUAUUUUUCAUGUGCUUUUAUUAUUCACGUGUGUCUCACUGUUCAAACAAUACAUCAGUUACGAAAAGGAAAUUAUGUACUUGUCUUGUUUGCCUUGAAGAUGUUGGAGUUGAUAAAUGAUUUCCAUAUCAUGGUUUUGCCUAGUUGUUAUGUGGUUGGAGCUUCAACCUGGGUUUGUCAUGUGGAAAUGGAACCAGUUACUGAUAUGCGACCAUACCUGUGCCUUUUGCCUGACCUUUUUUGUUGACUCUUGCUUCUUUACAAUGUAUAUGUGUUGUUUAAUAGAUUUGAUGGUUCUAUUCUGUGUGCAUGAAUUUGUGUUCCCUUGUGUACAUAUGAUGACUAUUUCUUUGUAGAAAGAUAAAUUGAACCAGAUGCAUGGUUUGAUGGGUUCAUUUUGGUCCUGUAUUUGAUAUUUUAUGCGCCUCAUGUACUGCAUUUUACUACUUGUAGGAAAAUGUGAGCUCAUCUGAAGAUAUAUCUGCAAAAACCAAAAGUGUUAUAGAACUGAAAAAACUACAACUCUUCGAGCUGCAACGCCGUCUCCGGAGGUUAUUGUUCAUCCUUUAUGAUCUUCCAUGUGGAAACCAAUUACUCCCUCUGUCCUUUACGGAAUUGCCUUCUUUACAGAAAAAAUGAAUUUUAAGGACCACUUUAAUGCUUUCCUACCGAAUUAUAUGGAACUAUUUUAAUGCUUUCUUGUAAAAUUUUAAGUAACUAUUUUAAUGCUUUCCUACCUACUUCUCAUGUGUUUAUAUUCAAUUAUUAAUCUUACUUUUAAAUUUAAAAAUCCAAAGUACUUGCAUAAAAUGUAAUUAGGGAGAUGAAAAAGGUUAUUGUGGAAAAAGGGGAAAUAAAUUAUUUGAAUUUUGGAUUGGAUUCUUAAAAGGGAAGUGUAGACCAUUUAUUCAGGACAGAGGGAGUAUAUAUUAUCUUUGUUUCUCAGUCUAAAUGGUACAAAUCUUUUCUCUAUAUUUUGUUUUAUUUUCUAGACACUUAAUCCUUGUUUUGUUUCAUUUGGGCAGUGAAUUUUUGAAUGAUUUCUUCAAACCAAUCAAUACUGAAAUGGAUCACUUGAGAAACUGUAAGAAAUUUAGACAUGGUAGGAGGAUAAAACAACUUGAAAAGUUUGAGCAAAAGAUGAAGGAAGAGCGACAAAAGAGAAUUCGGGAGAGGCAAAAGGAGUUCUUUGGUGAAAUAGAGGUUCACAAGUACGUACUCUCUUUUUGUCCAGUGUGUGUCAAUACCUUUAGCUUUCUAUGUUUUUUGAGGAGCUAUGGUAAUCAUUACUUCCAUUUCUCCUAUUUCAUUUGGUUUGUUGUGCAUGCUUUUCUGACUUGCUUUCUAAUCUGGACUUCAGGGAAAGACUGGAUGAUGCGUUUAAAAUUAAAAGAGAGCGGUGGAAGGUUUUCAAUAAAUAUGCGAAGGAGUUCCACAAAAGGAAGGAACGCAUCCAUCGUGAGAAGAUUGAUCGGAUUCAACGUGAAAAGAUAAAUUUAUUGAAGAUCAAUGAUGUGGAGGGAUAUCUGCGAAUGGUGCAGGUAUGUUCUAAAUUUUACUGACUUUAGGAUUGCAUCUUAUUUUUAUUCUUUUUGCAUAACAUUUUUGAAACUCAUGAUAGGAUGCCAAAUCUGACCGUGUUAAGCAACUUCUCAAAGAGACGGAAAAAUAUCUUCAAAAGCUCGGAUCCAAGCUACGAGAUGCAAAGGCUGUGGCAAGUCAAUUUGAGCAUGAUAUGGAUGAAAGUGGAAGUGGAGGUGCUACUGAGAAGAGUGAGCCUAGUUGUGAAAAUGAAGAUGAAAGUGAUCAGGCAAAGGCAAGUUUGUUCUCUGUACACUACAGUUUUUUUGAAGUUCCCGCUCAUUGUGUUAUUUUAUCAUUGUUUUGCAGCAUUACAUGGAAAGCAAUGAGAAGUACUAUUUGAUGGCUCAUAGGUAUGUAUAUGGCUUCUUUAUCAUGGAUUUAUUGUUGAUGUCACCUUGUUUGCUGCUUUAGAAUAGAAUUCCUCACUUUGUAACAUUUAUUUAGUGGUGGUUGAACUCAGCUAACCUCUGGUUCCUUUUUUGCUCUUUAAGAGAUUUCCUUUCUUAACGUAGAAGUUGGAACAUCUAUUUUUUUUUUAAAAUUUCAAUAAAUAUGAAAGUCUGACUGUCUUGACGCUGUCAAUUUGACAAAUUAUUUUCCCGUAAUAGUACUGAUUUACAGCUCUAACCAAGUAUCUUACAAUCAACUUUGGUUUUUGCAGUAUAAAAGAGAAUAUCGCGAAGCAGCCAUCUAUUCUUAAUGGUGGAAAAUUGAGAGAGUGAGUAGAAUGUGAUCUGAUAGAUAUAUAUAUUAUCUUAUGUUGGGGGAAGGAUAAAAGGGUUGAUCUUCUUUUUCUCAACUUUAAAAGCAAUAUUUUUUUGGGGGGUGUGGGUUGGGGGGCUGUUAUAUCCAUUUGAAUUGAUCAAGGGAGGUGUUUUUAUUAACACCUCAUGUGUGAUUUUUCUAAAAAUGGUAUUUUUGACGUUCAGGUAUCAAAUGAAUGGCUUAAGGUGGUUGGUGUCUCUAUACAACAAUCAUUUGAAUGGUAUACUUGCUGAUGAAAUGGGUUUGGGUAAAACUGUUCAGGUAGGGAUUGAUUAUGAGUCCUCCCUAAACCAUUCACAGUUUGUUUCCAGUUUACACGUCCAUAAUCUAAAACAUGUUUGUUUUUAGGUUAUUUCUUUAAUUUGUUACCUGAUGGAAACAAAAAAUGAUCGAGGACCUUUCCUAGUGGUUGUGCCAUCUUCAGUGUUACCCGGAUGGGAAUCAGAAAUUAACUUUUGGGCCCCUAGUAUUCUUGGGAUCGUCUAUGCUGGGCCCCCUGAGGAGAGACGUAGGCUAUUCAAGUAAUCCCAUUAAAACCGAACUGCUAUACUUCCUUAUGUAUUUUAUUUAUAUUUAUGCAGAAGCUCAAAAAGUACUUUACAUUGCAGGGAAAGAAUAGUUCAACGGAAAUUUAAUGUCCUCCUUACUACAUACGAGUAUCUGAUGAAUAAGCAUGACAGACCUAAACUAAGCAAAUUACACUGGCAUUAUAUAAUAAUCGAUGAAGGCCAUCGGAUAAAGAAUGCUUCCUGCAAGUUAAAUGCUGAGUUGAAGCAUUAUCAAAGCUCUCACAGAUUGCUGUUAACUGGAACUCCACUGCAGGUUUCAGGAUCUCUUUUCGUGUGCUCUUCUUUUAUUUAUUGUUUGCACUCAUUUUCUGCGGUUUAAUAAAUGUGUAUUGUCUUUCCUUUGUGUAUUUAUGCAGUAUCCUGAUUACUUUCUAUUCUUGUGUUUUGAUUAGAAUAAUCUCGAGGAGUUGUGGGCGCUACUAAAUUUCUUGUUGCCCAAUAUUUUUAAUUCAUCAGAAGAUUUUUCUCAGUGGUUCAACAAACCAUUUGAAAGUAGUGGUGAUAGCACAGCUGACCAAGUAAGCUUUGGAAUGUUGUAUUUGAGAAUUGAUGUUUUAAAAACUAUUGUGGCUCCGGUUGCAUUAAAAUCUGACAGUCGUGUAUGUAUUGUUGGCAUAUAUUGACAAGGCCUUACUCUCUGAGGAGGAGAAUCUAUUGAUCAUAAACCGUCUUCACCAAGUUCUUCGACCAUUUGUCCUUCGGAGGCUGAAGCAUAAGGUUCCUAAAAUUUGUUUUCUGCUUAUCAAUAAUAUUUGCGUUUGGAAUGUGUUUUUUUUCUUGGAUUUAUUUGUGUUUGUGUGGCUUUGAAAUCUGGUUUCUUAUAUGCAUGUAAUGUGUUUAUAUAUGAAUGUGUACGCAUACAGACAUGCAUGUCUAUGGUUUUCUGGAAUUCUUUCUUUUGUAUCCAUUUAUGUAUUCUGGUCAAGGAAAUGUUUUGUCGCCAUAAAACUUUUAAGAAAUGACUUGGAUAUACUAACAUUGUGUCUUAUCCAUGAUAAUCCCAUACAUGUCAGUUGAUCAACAAAAUCCUGGUUAACUUCAUUAUUUCUGUAUGGAAGGCAUGUGCAGACUUGGUAGUUUGAUUAUGAUAUGCAGUGCUGCAUGAUUGAUUUGAGGUUAACUUCCAAUAAGACUUGACUUCUGAAUAUUUUCUUUAGGUGCUUAGUGCAUCUGGCUUUUGUAUUUGAUUUGUUAUGGAGUGUGUUACAUUGAGAAAUUUGAUAUAAAAUGUAUUGCUUCUGGGCCCUUGGUAAUAUUUUAUUGAAGUUUCUGUUCUAUCUUUAAAAAGGCAUUCAAUUGUAAAUGUUGAGUUUUGGAAGUUUCUAUGUUAAUGUUCCUGCAUUUUAAUUUCUUUGUGGCAGGUUGAAAAUGAACUACCCGAAAAGAUUGAGAGACUUGUAAGAUGUGAGGCUUCUGCUUAUCAGAAGCUUUUGAUGAAGAGGGUAGAAGAUAAUUUGGGUACAAUUGGAAAUUCCAAGGUAUUUUUAGUUCUCCUUUCAAUUUAGGGAGGUGAACUGUUAAGUGUAUCUUAUUAUAAUUUACACAUUUUUUUUCAGGCCCGGUCAGUGCACAAUUCUGUUAUGGAGCUUCGAAAUAUAUGUAAUCAUCCAUAUCUCAGCCAGCUUCAUGCAGAGGAGGCAUGUUCUUUACCUGUUCAUUUUAAGUUUUUAUUUGCUCAUGUAAAAGAUGCUGAACGGGAGAAGGAAGCAAUUUUCAUUAUUACCUUGUGUUCUCAAGAUAAACUUCUUUGUCUGAUUGCUUCUUGUAGGUUGAUACCUAUAUACCAAAGCAUUAUCUGCCACCAAUUAUAAGGCUUUGUGGGAAGCUUGAGAUGUUAGAUCGAUUACUUCCCAAGCUAAAAGCAACAGAUCAUAGGGUACGGAAGGCAUUUUACCUGUGUCUAGCGACAUUAUUUUUUGUUUAACUCUCUCUUUUUAUGAAUAUUCCAGUUGUUGGACUUGAUAUCAGAGUGCAACUGAUUGGAACUUGUCACUGUGCAGGUUCUUUUCUUUUCCACAAUGACUAGGCUACUUGAUGUUAUGGAGGAAUAUCUCAACGGUAAACAAUAUCGGUACCUCAGGUUGGAUGGACAUACAUCUGGGGGUGAUCGUGGUACCCUUAUUGACAUGUUCAAUAAACCGGAUUCUCCCUUUUUUAUAUUUCUUCUCAGGUGAUUCUUUUUGUGCGUAUUAUACUUUUAUGUCUGCUUUUACUGGGUUAGGUGGUUCAAUAGGUUACGGAAACUUCGGGUUAGAGGGAGAGCCUGCAGGGGCUGUGCUAUGAUUUAGCUGUAGGUUAAACCUUACAUGUGAAGUUGGAAGCAACAAAAGGUGUGCUUUGUAGUGUCAAAAGCACUUUCCGAUAAAAGGUGGUUUUUAUUAUUGAGUUUUUGUCUGAAAUGGACAAAAGUGGUUUUGGUGGUGAGAGGAACACUUUUAGUGCUUCGUGGAGAAGGACUGCAAGGUGAUUAUGGAGGAUGCAUUUCAUGUUUGAUGAUUUUUCUUAUGUGCCUCCAACAGAUGCACUUUAUACAAAAGCUCUACCAAAUAGGCUGUAAGAAUCCUACACUAAUUUAGUAAAAUCUCACUUGGGUUCUAGAAUUAGGCCACCAUAUAUUGGGUUGCUUCGUGCUUGACACUGACGUAAGUUGUUACUAGCAAGUAGUGAAUAAAAAGUAUAGAAGUUCUGUUGUGCUGAUAUGUGUCUGCAGGCAUGAUUGUGUGCACAUGAGUGUAAAUGGUACUGACAUAUGUAUGAUUUUGAUAGCAUUCGGGCUGGUGGUGUUGGAGUAAAUCUUCAAGCUGCAGAUACAGUGAUAAUAUUUGACACUGACUGGAAUCCGCAGGCAAUUUUCAAAAUUACUGUUCAAUGAUUUAUAUUUUGAAUUUAAACCAUAUAGUUUCAAUUCUAUAGUUGAUUUAUUUUUUCAUUGUAAAUUUUCAGGUUGAUUUGCAAGCUCAAGCAAGGGCUCACAGAAUUGGCCAGAAGAGGGAUGUGCUUGUUCUUCGAUUUGAAACAGUAUGCAAUUUCUCCCCUGGGCUAUGUUUCAAUUUGAAAUGGCUCUUUGUCUUCUCUAUUUAUGUCUUGAAAUUAAAUUAUCUACACUUUAGGAGUCUGGAUGUCUAAGUGCUUGAAUUGUUUCUUUUGUAUAAGGUUCAAACUGUUGAGGAACAAGUCAGAGCUGCAGCUGAGCACAAACUGGGAGUAGCGAAUCAGAGCAUUACUGCUGGUUUCUUUGACAACAAUACAAGGUUAAUUUGAAUUGUUGCUGAGCUAAACUCUGUUGCAUACUCUUCUAAGGAAGUUGCUAAUUGUUCUUGAAAAUUGUUUUACCACAGUGCUGAAGAUCGAAGAGAAUAUUUGGAGUCCCUUUUGCGUGAGUGUAAGAAAGAAGAAGCUGCACCUGUAUUAGAUGAUGAUGCUUUAAAUGAUCUCUUAGCUCGCAGGUACAUACAGUGACGAUUUUUGUUGUUUAUAUUUUGCUCUUGACGUGACUGGUCGUCUGAAUGAGAUUUCCUGUUUCAGCAUCAAUUUUAUAGGGAAUAGCAUUUCCAUCCGUAGGUUUCUUGAAUAGAUGGGGCACUCUGUAGACUAUGGUACCUUGCCGUUUUGCUUUGGCUUUCAUGACAUUUACUGUUUUCAUAAGCAAUGAUGAAUUUGCUGUCCUAUUUUUUCCCUCCUGUUAAAAUUAUCUACAAACUCAGAAGGGCUGGGAAUUUCGCAGUCAGAAGUCAUUAGUAUGUUGGAUUUGGUUAAUGAUUAAUACGCAAAGCCAUUUUUCGCUUGCUGGAUUUUGUUUGUCAUUAUUAUUUGAAUUUUUUUUUGCUUGCUGAUUAAUGAUUAAUGAAGGAAAUUUUUUUUUUAUGCUAAGUUUUUUGGUCGAUUUUUUUAUUUAAAGUUGAUUUAUCAAUGAUUGCCUCUCUUCCUGCAGUGAGCCAGAAAUUGAUGUAUUUGAAACUAUUGACAAAAGAAGACGGGAAGAAGAGAUGGUAUUCACUUACAUUUGUACUCUGCUGUCUCUUUGGUUUUACAUUGCAUAAGUAUCCUUGUAUAUCUUGCAUGCUACCUGUUCCUCUGAUGAUGCAGCUUUAUUAAAAAAAAUAAUUUUGUAGGCAACAUGGAGGAAAUUAGCAUGUGUUCAAGGCAUGGAUAGUUCUGAAACUCUGCCUCCUUUGCCUUCUCGCCUCGUUACAGACGAUGACUUGAAGGAGUUCUGUGAAGUAAUGAAGGUAUAUGAGGUGCCAAAGACUGGUGAAGUGUCUAAUGUCGGGGUAAAGCGGAAGGGUGGGGCUCUUGGGGGCCUUGAUACUCAACGUUAUGGCAGGGGCAAACGGGCAAGAGAGGUUUGUUUUUCAUAUUUGAUUCUUAUUGCUUGAUUGUAUCCUUUAUGUUCUUGUGUUUCUUUGACCACAAAGCUGCUAAUUGAAUGUGAAUCUGUUUCUUUCAAUGCUUUUUAGGUGCGUUCAUAUGAAGAACAAUGGACAGAAGAGGAAUUUGAAAAGUUGUGUCAGGCUGACUCACCUGAUUCCCCCACAAAAUCAAAGGAAGAAUUUUUGGAGUCAAACUUGCCAAAAGAUGACAGUGGGUCUGUGGUGGCUGUUUGUAAAACAGAACUUCCUGCUCCACUUCCACCACACUUACCAUUACCGUCUGUGGAGCUGCCCCAGAUACAGCAAAGUAAAGAGGUUACACCACCAGCUAAACGAGGCCGUGGAAGGCCAAAAAGAGCAACACUGGAUCAAUCACCAACUGCGAUGGCUCUUACAGCACCUUCUGGAACUGUCAAAGUGGAUACUGGGUUACAGAGAGGAGUGGUGUCGAGCCCUGUAACAAAUUCAGGCCCUGAUUCAUCACCUAGUUCUGUUAAUGUACAGGGUAUUGGUGGAAUUGUACAACCUAAUAAUAUCGUGGCCUCACCUAGCUCUCAGCCAACUGCUCCUAAACCUUCUGUUACUCCUGGUUCUCAAACGACCAUUGUCAGCCCAUCUGCAUCAACACAAGUAAGAGGACAAGGUCGGAAAACUCAAAGUGGAUUAGAAGCACCCAGGCGUAGGGGAAAGAAACAGGUGCCACAAUCACCUGGUGUUUCUGGUGGAUUAGCUGGUUCUGAUCCAAAACAAAAUGAAGUAUCACAGAACACAUCUGUGAACCCAUUAGAAAAUCAAGCCAUUGGCAUGAGCGAAACUGUUUCUUGUACUUCUGCAGUCCAACAUCCUGAUUCUUUACCUGGUUCUGUUCCUUUACAAGGUGCCAAUGGGACUGAUCAUCAAGUUGGUGGUGCAAUGGCUUUGACUUCUCAGCCAACCCUUCCUUCCCCAUCUGUUGCUCCUUCCUCUCAAUCUUCUCCUUCCCCUUCUGUACCUGUGCAAACGAAAGGGCAAAACCGGAAGGCUCAAAGUGGCGCAGGAGCACAGCGGCGUAGGGGAAAGAAACAGGUGCCAGUAUCACCUGCUGUUCCUGAUGUGUUAGAUGCUCAGGAUUUAAAACCAAAUCUGCAACCACAGGAUAAACCUGGAGAUUUAUCUGUGAGCAAAGACAGUGCUGCGAGAAGUAAGCAAGAGGCUGAUGGUUUACCUGGUCAGAAUCUGAACUCAACUGAAGAAUCAGUAAAUUCAACUGAAGCCAAGCAGACAAUAAGCUCAUCAAUGAUACACGAGACUGCCCUCAGAACCCUGGGUAAAUACUGUGCAUGCAUGCAUGUUUAGGAAUAAUUUUUCACAACUGAAAUCAUGAUAAAUUUCCUUACAUAAACUGACAUUUUAAUAUUGUGCAGGCCCUGCGACAGGGGAAAGCCUAAAUGUUAUUGCAUGCAAUGCUACUGUGACAAAAGAGGCUUUGCCUGAAAGUUGCUCAUCCAAACCUAAGAAUGACAAGGUUUCAGGGAAUGAAGGUGCUGCCAUACCAGCUGAGGUGAAUAAGAGCCAGAGUUUGGAGGAUAAAGCUUGUCCAGCUAUUGCAACUUCCAUAACUGCGGCUCCAGCUCAUACUCCUUUAACUGAUUCCUUUCCCAGUUCCACUGCUGUGGAAAACACCAGUGAGACAAAAUAUGACGUUGCUAAGAUUGCUCCUAGCUCUCAGUCAACGCCUUUGUACCAUUCUGUUCCUCUGGCAUCUCAAUCUAUCACUCCUUGCCCUUCCGAAUCACUAGAAGUCAAACGGCAAGGUCGAAAGACUUCAAACAGAGCAGAAGCACCCCGUCGUAGGGGAAGGAAGCAGGCUCCGGUGUUACCUGCUGUUUCUGAUGGUCCAGCCGGUCAGGAUCCAAAAUUAAAUUCUCAAUUACAGAAUGCAUCUGCUGUUACAAUGGGAAGUAAGUCUGUUGCUCCGAGAAGUAAGCAAGGUACUGAUGGACAGGAACUGACAAAUGCUAUUCAGGCCCAGACAAGCCAAGUGCAUUUGGCUAGCAGUUUAGUGGGUCAUGAUCCAAAAAGAAAAGAGCAGUCAGGCUAUUCUGCCCACAAUAGGCAACCUACAAACUCAACAUCAGCACUUGACAGUGCUGCUGGAUCCUCUGAUAAGAGUUCUGCUUUGGGCCGCAUCCAGACUGCUGAUGUAAAUGAUGUUGCUCGUGUGAUGAAGGAGGUCUUUUCUGGAACAAUUUUGUCAAAAGCUAAAAUUCCUGAAACUUUUGGGAGAGAAGGUAGGGUUGCCCCCUGUAUACCUUUAUCAAGUAAGAUUCCUGUGGACACAGCCAAAAGCCAAUGUUUGGAGGAUAAAUCAUGUCCUACUCUGCCAACUUUGGAAACAGCAGCUCAUGCACUUGACCUUACUGGGACUGAUGCAAAAGGGGAGAGGGACAAGACACCUGCUUUGAAUGAAACCCAUGUUCCCAUCACUAAUAUGGACCAACCUGAAAGCAAGACGGCUGUGGGCUCCAUCAAAGAAUUGAAAGGUUCGAAACAACUUUCUGUUGAUGGCACAACUAGGGUGAGUAAGACUGUUUUUCAACCAGUGUCUCCAGAUGUUGAUGUGACUGCUUCUAGUAUAGGGGCCUGUGGGAGUGAGGUAGGUUCAUCUUUGGUAUUUUCAAGUAGUGUUGAGCAUCCUCAGGUGAUUGGUGGAAACAAAACUGAAUCUUUGUCAGGAGAGUCUCCUAAAUCCUCUUCUGUUGAUUUAAGUGACAAUAAGUGUCCUACGAUUUCCAUGAAUACUGACAAUGCUAGUCUUCAUCUUGGAUUGACACCUCCUGUUCCUGAGGGCCCAGUUGAGUCAGGUGUGGUGGGCCCUCCUGCUAUGAUUGAUUCUGAAAACAAGAUAGAGCCUUGUGUUAAAGAGCAUCCAACAUCUCCUCCUUGUAAUGCGGCCAGCCUUGAGUGCGCUCCCCUAAUUCCCAAAGAUUCUGAUGAUGUUAGCAAUCAUUCUAAAGACACUUCACCCAUUUCUGCAAGUCCAGAUCGUUCAGCUGUCAUUCCUGAUAUUCCUGAAAUGACUGAAACAAAUGCCGUAGACAAAACAGAGCCUUCUUCCAAAGAGUCUCGAGAAUCUUCCCCUCAUGAUAAUGUAUCCACAACAUUUGAAAUCGUUUGUCCAGGAGAGAGUGCACCCAUGUCUGUUGGUUUAGAGGAUUCGGAGCUUCCUGGCAUGGCUGAGAAUGACACUGGAGAAAUGGUUGAGUCUGCUUCAAAAGGUUGUCCAAAAUCUUCUCCUGUUGAUAUAAGCCAUGAAAUUUCCACAACUAUUACCACAAUCCCAAAUAUUGUGUUUGGUGGGGGUUGUAUUGACAAGGUUGAUGUGCCUUGUACAGAAUCUGAAGCUGCUAAUUGUUCUGGUGAAGGUAAUUUUUUGAAUUCUGAAAUUUCCUUGAAGGCUGAUGAUUUCGAAGUCACUCUUGGGUCAGCUGAUGUUGCCUCGGGGCAUAAUACUAUGCAUGAUAUUCCUACUGAAAAGGGCAUCUUGGAACUUCGAACUGAUGUGAUUGAGGAUGGUAGUAUUGAUGUGUGCAAUGUGGAAGUUGUCCCCUCCGAGGGUGAUCAAAUGAAUGUUUCUUGUGUUGGUUGUUAUCCAUCUGCAAAAGUAUCAGACACGAGUUUACCUGCAUCUUCAUUGUUAACUGUGGGAGAAAUCAAUGACUCAUCUGAUAGAGGUCAAGUUGACAGCUAUGUAUCACAGGAGAACCCAAAAAGUUCUGGUGCAGCAUUGGUUGUUUCUCAGGAUGAUGGUUUCGUUUCAGGAGAUAGAUCAGAAAUCUUACAGUCAUCUUCCUUGGUGGAAGAGGAACCAGUAGGGGGCGCAUCUGUGAAGUGCCAAAAUUCCAGCUCGUCAUCUUCAGAGGAAAGGAAAGAUUCAGUUACUGAAAAGGAUGUUAUUUUGUCUGAGGAACUUAUACCAAAAAACUUGGAUGUUCCUUUAUCUUUAAUUACACAGGAAGAAAAUAUUGAGGGUUCAUCGGAGGAGAGGCCAAGUUGCAGUUCCAUACUACUGGAUGAUUCAAAAGGUCCUGGAGCUUUAACAGUUGUUCAAAUUGAUUUAUCUCAGGUUUGUGAAACUUUGCAAGAGAAUGUUGUAUCAGAAGGUAUGGAUCCACCUUCAUCUUCCUUAGUGACUGGAGAAGAGCCGACUGAGGAAAUAUCUAAGAAGAAUCAAGUUUGCAGAUCUGUACCUGUGGAGGAACCAGAAGUUUCUAGAGCUGAAAGAGAUGCUCGAAUUGAUUCGUCUCAGGUUGAUGGCAUUUUACCGCAAAUGGUUGUGGACAACUUAGGUUCUCCUCUAUCUUCUUUAGUGACAGAGGAAGGAAAGAUUGGGGACUCAUUGGUAAAAUGUGUAAUUGGCAGUCCAGUACAAAUGAAAGAAGAAGACAAGAUUGAUGGAAUAUCUAUUAAAUGUUUAAGUGGGAAUUCAGACCUACUGGGAGACUCACAAGGAUCUGAUGCUGAAAUGGAUGUUUCUCAGGCUCGUGGGUUUCUAACAGACACUGAAAGUGUUAUUGUGCCUUCAUCUUCUGCAGCAGUUAAGGAAGGAAAGAUUGAGUGCUCAUCUGAGAGGGGUCCAGUUAACAGAUCAAUAGUGCUGGAGGAAACAUCUGAAGAUUUAGUUACUGAUAAUGUGGUUGUUUCUCGGGUUGGUGUGUUUGUGCCCAAAAAUAUGUUAGAAGCUGCGGUUCAACCUUUAUCUACUUUGACAAAAGAGCAGGAAAAGACUGAGUGCUCUUCUGAGAAGGAUCAAGAUGGCAGCUCAGUACAACUGGAUGAACCAAAUGGAAAGGAAGAUGAAAUGGAUCAAAUGGAAACGCCCAGAUAUUCUGGGGAUUUGCCAGACUGUAUUGUAUCAGAAAGUGUGGAUUUGGAAGAGAAGAUUCAGGGCUUAUCUGAGAAGGAUCCUGUAAGCAGCUUAGCACCACAGUUGGAAUCAAAGGUUUCUGGAACCUGAGAUGGUUGAUCAUUUGGAUGCAUCUAAGGUUGGUUGACUCAUUUNNNNNNNNNNNNNNNNNNNNNNNNNNNNNNNNNNNNNNNNNNNNNNNNNNNNNNNNNNNNNNNNNNNNNNNNNNNNNNNNNNNNNNNNNNNNNNNNNNNNCCCCCCCGGGGGGAACAAAAGUUUUUUAACCCGGAGGGGUUUGACCUUUGGAGGCCAUUAAGGGGGGGGGAACCCCUUUUUUUUUUUUUUUUUUUUUAAAAAUUAACAAAGUUUUUUCCCCUUUUUUUGGGGCCCCAGUGGGUUUUUUUUUUUAAAAUUUUGGGGGAAAAACCUUUCCCCCCCCCCCCCCCCCCCCCCCCCCCCCCCCCGGCCCUAGAAAAAAAAAAACUCCUUAAUUUAUCUCAGAACCUCCAACUGUACAGAAUUGUAAACCGUAAUGUCUUGAUAGGUAUAGGAUAACGAUUACUAUGACAAGUCAGUGCAUGUCAAUGCCCACAGGCAAUCACAAGGUUGAUCUAUUGUUAUUACUUAGAUUAUUAAUGUGUAAUUUCAUAUUUGUAUUACUCAGGUUGGCGUGAUGCUGCUGGAAGAAGCUAUUUCAGAAAACGUUGACCUGCCUGCAUCUUCCAUGGAGACUGAAGGAAAAGAGGUAGUAGGUCCAUCUGAGGGAAAAGUUGGCUGCUCAGUGAUGGAGGAGGGUUCAAAAACACCUGUAGCUGAAAUGGUUCCUCAAGUGAAUGCUUCUGAUGCUUGUGAGAGUGUGCAAGAAAUUGUAUCAGAAAACAUGGAUCUGCCUCUGGUUAACUCAACCAUAGUGGUUGAUAGUGUUGAAGGCUCAUCUGAUGCAGUGCCUAUAGGCAGCACCAAAUCACCAGAGGGGUUGGAGUCUGAAGCUAAAAUUGUUGAUGGUUUUCAGGUUUGUGGGACAUUGCCAGGAAAUGUUUCUGAAAACUUGGAUCAGCUUCCAGUUACCUUGGCCAUAGGGGGCGAUAAUGUGGAAGGCUUAUCUGAGGCAGGGCCUAUAGACAACUCCAAUUCACUAGAAGAGUCAAAAUCUGAAGCUAAAAUUGUUGAUGCUUCUCUGGUUUGUGGGACAUUGCCUGGAAAUGUGUCUGAAAACUUGGAUCAGCUUCCAGUUACUUUGGCCAUAGGGGGGAAUAGUGUUGAAGGCGUAUCUGACGCACGGCCUAUAGACAGCUCCAAAUCACUAGAAGAGUCAGAAUCUGAAGCUAAAAUUGUUGAUGCUUUUGAGGUUUGUGGGACAUUGCCAGUGGAUGUGUCUGAAAACUUGGAUCAGCUUCCAGUUACCUUUGCCAUAAGGGGUGAUAGUGUUGAAGGCUUAUCUGAGGCAGGGCCUAUGGACAGCUCCAAAUCACUAGAAGAGUCAGAAUGUGAAGCUAAAGUUGGUGAUGCAUCUCAGGUUGCUGGGACAAUGCAAGAAAAUGUGUCUGAAAACAUGGAUCAGUCUGAAGCUCCCUUGACCAUGGGGGGUGAUAGUGUUGAAGCAUUACCUGAGGCUGGGCCUGCGGUUAGCUCCAAAUCACCAGGGGAGUCAAAAUGUGAAGCUAAAGUUGGUGAUGCUUCCCAGGUUUGUGGGUCAAUUCCAGAAACUGUAUUUGGAAACCCAGAUCAGGCUCUAGUUACAUUGGCCAAGGAGGGUGGUCACAUUGAAGGUUUAUCUGAGGCAGGGCCUGCAGGCAGCUCCAAAUUACCAGAGUUAGAAUCUGAAACUAAAGUUGUUGAUGAUUCUCAGGUUUGUGCACCAAUGCCAGAAACUGUGCCCGAAGCUGAAGUUGGUGGUGACGUUGAAGGUUUAUCAGAGGCAGGGCCUGCAGGCAUUUCCAAAUUACCAGAGUUAGAAUCAAUGCCAGAAACUGUGCCCGAAGCUAAAGUUGGUGAUGACAUUGAAGGUUUAUCUGAGGCAGGGCCUGCAGGCAGUUCCAAAUUACCAGAGUUAGAAUCUGAAACUAAAGUUGGUGAUGAUUCUCAGGUUUGUGCACCAAUGCCAGAAACUGUGCCCGAAGCUAAAGUUGGUGAUGACGUUGAAGGUUUAUCCGAGGCAGGGCCUGCAGGCAGUUCCAAAUUACCAGAGUCAGAAUCUGAAACUAAAGUUGGUGAUGAUUCUCGGGUUUGUGCAUCAAUGCCAGAAACUGUGCCCGAAGCUAAAGUUGGUGAUGACGUUGAAGGUUUAUCUGAGGCAGGCCCUGCAGGCAGCUCCAAAUCACCAGAGUUAGAAUCUGAAGCUAAAGUUGGUGAUGAUUCUCAGGUUUGUACGUCAAUGCCAGAAACUGUGCCUGAAAACCCGGAUCAACCCCAAGUUAACUUGGUCGUUGGGGAUGAUCAUGUUGAAUGCUUAUCUGAGGCAGAGCCUGUAGGCAGCUCCAAAGCACCAGAAGAGUUAGAAUCUGAAGAUAAAGUUGGUGAUGCUUCUCGGGGUUGUGUGGCAACGCCAGAAAAUAUGUCUGAAAGCAUGGAUCAGCCUCCAGUUAUCUUGGCCAUUGGGGGUGAUGGUAUUGAAGCCUUAUCUGAUGCGGGGCCUGUAGGCAGCUCCAAGUCACCGGAGGAGUCAGAAACUGAAGCUAAAGCUAGUGGCGCUUCUCAGGUUUGUGGGACAAUGCCAGAAAAUGAGUCGGAGAACAUGGAUUUUGAGCCAUCUUCAACAGCACAGGAAGGUCAAACUGUGGGGUCAUCAUCUGAGAAAUCAGGUGGUAGCUCAAUGGCACAGCCCGAAGUUGAAUGAGUAUCUUGACUAUAAUUUGUACAGCUUGUUAGACCAUAAAAACAUAUAUAUUCAGUGAAGUAUAGUUUGCCCUUUAUAAAGGGGUAAUAUUUAGUUUCCAAUUAGUGUGUAGAUAGAGUAUUUAUAUGACUUCUUUUGUCGAACUGUCUUCCACAAACUUGUCACUGGGAUUUAAACUUUUACUGGCGCUGAAUUUAGAUGUCAGCAGCUAACUUUUUGUUAACCUGAUUAUCUCCUUUCUUUAAGAAUUUGGAGCCUAAAUUUCGCUCGUUGCAAUCUGUAAAAUAUACCCAGAGGGAGGAUUCAAUCACUGCAUGCCUAAUUCAUUUUGCAGCAAAAAGCCCAAUGGUCGCAGAUUCAUAGCCAGAAACUCCAUGAUACAAGUUCAUUUUCAUUUGAGGCGAAAGAGUUUCAUGAUUAUUUUUAUCCUCUAUCAACCUAAGAAUUUAAUCUGAUUACACAAUUCGGGGUAUUAAAUAAGGGUAUUGAUUUUCCCAUUUCUUUUUCAUCUACUUACACUCCAUUUUUAAAAAAUUGUAUGUUCUCACUCAUUUUGUUCACUUACAGGUCUUUUUUUUAUACGAGCGAUAUUCUACUUUAAUCUAAUCUAAACUAUGAGGAGAGAGAUUCGAACUCAAGUGCAGAGUGAAGAGCAUAUCCGCUCUAACCAACUUGACUAAACUCAUAUAUGCUUUUAAGAAAAUAUUUUUAGUCCAAGGACAUAUUUAUCUUUUUAUUCUUCAAAGUAAUAACCAAACCCCACAAGAAAUGUUUUAUAGCCAUAGGUUCAAAUAUAAAGGCAAAAGCCCUUAAACCAAAAAUCCCUAGGGAAAUUUAAGAGAAACUCACCGUUGAUUUCUCACUCCCAUCCCCACUAACCUCCAGAAACCUCCAAAACAACUACCCAGUUUCCCAUUUUCUUUUCUUUUCCUCUUUCUCAGUAUUCCUUCCACACAAAACAAAGAGAAAUUAUUUGCAAUUACUUGUUCGCAUUGCUUUCUUGACCAAUGAAAUACGGCAGGGAUAUUGAGAUUCUUCAACGGAGUGGUGGGUGGGUAGAUUUGGACUCACUUCCGGGGUACCUCCAUGGUCGGUCGUAAAGGCAAAAAAAUUAUAUUAUUUUUGUUUACGUAUACAAUUUCCAUAUAACUUAUUUUUCUUGGUUACAUCAAUUUUUUUUAAAUCUUAUAGGCUUACAAUGGUUUGUAUGCACUGUUUCUUGUUCUUAUACGUAUUGGCAGAAGAAUAGUAUUUAAAUAUUUAAAUACUAAUUAUUCACUAAGUAAAUAAUAAUUAAUACAUAACUACUAAUUAAACUAAUUAAAAAAAGAGGAAUUGAGAUUAAGCUAGCCGCACGGCUAUGCUAAUUUAUCGCGUAUAGCCGGACUGCUAUACCUUCAAAAUAUUCUAUUUAUGGAGUAUAGCCAAGCGGCUAUACACUAAAAUAUACUCUUUAUGGCCUAUAGCUGCGCGGCUAUACUCCGGCUAAUACUGUUAAUUAUGACGUACAGCCGAGCGGCUAUACUGUUCAAAUAUUCUAUUCAAUAAAAAUUAGGAUUUUAUCGUGGCAAAGCUGACCCUUGAGAUAAAUCAAUUAGACAACAUUCUAGCUUUUUUCCCCAAUGUGUGCUUAGGGUUGAGGGAAAAUUUAAGCUUUGUUUGUGUGUUGCAUGUGUAUGUGCAGUGAUAUAAAGAGGUUGCUUAUCUUUUUAGGUGCGCUUUGUCAUAUUUACUUAAAUAAAUUUGAAUAUUCAAAAAGUAUAACCGCGCAACUAUACUCUUUUAGUUUUUUAAAAAAAAAAGUUCACAAAAUAAUUUAAAAUAAUUAAUUCUAUUUAUUAAGUAAUUUAUGAAAUUAGUAAAAUAAUAAUAAUAAAAAUAUAAUUACUACUUAAAGUAAUUAAAAAAGACUAAGAUAUUACUUAAUUACAUAUAUUCAAUUAAAGAAGUUGGCCAAAAAAUUAAAGUAAAGAAACUAAUUUUAUAUUUUUAAAAUUAAAAAUAAAAUGGGAUAACAACCUCUCCCGACGACAUUACGUCGGCACAGACCUAUACCGGCAAAUAUUUGUCGGAUAAGACCUCUUCCGAUUAAAUUCAUCUCUACCGACAAACUUUCGUUGGAAAAAGUGUUUUUGAAAAUAAAUAUAACCUUAGUAUCUUUAGGUCAAUAAAUGUUUUUUAAAAUAUUUCUUUUUAGUAAUUAAAUAAUAUCUUAGCUUAUUUAAUUACUUUUAUUAGUAAUUAUAUUUUAAUUAUUAUUUCUUUAGUGAAUAAUUAGUAUUAAAUAUUUUAAUUAACUUCAUAAAUUAUAUUACUUAAUAAAUAGAUUUUUAAAUUUUUAAAUUUUUUUCUUAAAUAAAAUAUUUAAAAGAGUAAUCUAUAUACAUAAAGGUAGAAGGCCUAAAAGUGAAAAUUUUAAUAUCCCUGAAACUGCUUUUGGUGAAGUAAAAUAUUGAAACACACAUAUUUUAUUUAAAAGAGGGUAAAAGGGUAAAACAAAAAGUGAAUUAAAUUUUUUUUUUUUUAAAAAUAGUAAUUAAGGAUAAGACGUGUUUUAACCCCCAAAAAAAAAUGAAUAAGAUGUAUUGUUUUGAAAACCUCACCUCAUCGUGCAGUUCCUUUCAGUUUAACAUAAGAGAAAACAAGUAAAGGAAACGUUAGCUGAAAAAAAUGGGUAUUAAAGAAACAAGGUAAGAAAAAAUAUAAUUUUUUUAAGAUAAGAUAAAAUAUUGUUUAAUAUUGCAACAACCAUCUUCAAAAUUUGGUAAUACACUAAUAAUUGUGGUUUUUUCUUUUAAGACAAGUGAUCUUUUAAUACUAGGCUCUAAAGGGGUUGGACCGUUGGGUUGGACAAUCAGCCUAAGGUGUCAAACAGGUCUAGCCGAAUCGCCCGAUAAGACACUAUUAGUAUUUUUGGGUGGACUAGGAUGAGGUAAUUCGACCCAAUGACCUAGGCUGGUCGGAUGCCCGUCGUGAGCCAUGUCGGCUCGAAGCCCAACAGAUCGACCCAUUUUUUAAAUUAUAUUUAUUUUAGAGAAAAAAAUACAUAAUAUUAUUAUAGCUAUAUAUAUUAAAUCCAUGUUUUAUUUAUUUAUCUAAUAGUAUAUUUUAAAAUUCAAUGUUUUCUUUAUAAAUAAAAUAAUUAUUUUGUUUUUCAAGUUUCAAUUUUUUAAACGCGAACCAUAAUCUAGCAAUUGGUUAUUUAAAUGUACUUCAAAUAAAGUGAUUGACCACUUUUUUCAACAAAUAAUAAAUCUUGUUAGUAUAUGCAUGUUUGUAAAAAAGAUUGAAAUGAAAUUGAAAAAAAAUAUUACAAAAAAUGACAAGAUUUGCCUCGGAAUUUGUGACGAACCCUACUUCCUGUCUGACAUCUAACCAAUGUCAGACCCACUUUCCUAAAACGUUUUUUAGCCCUAAUUUAAAUUAAUAAAGACUUCAAUUUUGGCAGAAUCUCCCUUAUAAAUUGAAUAUCUUCCAAUUUAUAGUAUCUACAAACGAGCAUAGAAAUAAUCCCAACUUUCAGCAUGCACAAGGUAAAGGCACACACAACAGUUAAGACUAUUCAAAUGGGCAUCAUGCCCUCUACCUAAACUCAAAACGAGCAAGCAGACCAGCUAAAGAUUAAGUUUUACAACCCAAGAAAAAGGAAAGUAGAGAAAGAUAAAUGAGGAAUUCCUACAGUGCAAACAGCGUCGAUGCCUCAACGUGGUGAUCUUGAUGUCGGAUAUCUAGAAUUUGGGGACGCAAAACAGAAAAUGUGAGUGGACGAAAACAAAGCGUUAAACAUAAUUUAUAUUCAACAUAAAUAACCCCCUUCGUUUUAGAAAAUAAUGCCAAAACACUAUCCAACAAAAUCCUUUUGCAUAUGUACAUAUAUGAUAUAUAUCAUCCGAUACUUGAAAAUAAUUUAAUUCAGUAUACCUAUAUCAUGACAUACGAUAAGAAAAACCGAUUUAAUUAAUACCUUUCAAAUUCUUGGAAAACAAUGUAUACUAGUUUAUUUAAUCCUUAUUGUAAAACUGUAAAUUUCAACACUACCCAAGUAACCCGUUAAUAUAAAAUAUGAUCAUCAAAACCCAAAAUCUUUUUUCCAGCAACUAUACCCUUGCAAAAUACAAUAUGCCAAAAAGUUCCAAAUAUCCAAUCUCAAUUAUGAACUUCAUUUCAAAUGUUCAUACCUGUGCAGUGUACUCUCAAUGCACAUGCUUAAGAAAGAUCAACUUGGAAAUAAACUCACAUAUACGCUUAUAGAUACACACACACACACACACUUCAACCGGGGAAUUAUUUAACUAGACCAUGGGAUAACAUCACAUUACCCCGUGAUUAAGGUUGAGCAGUCCAACCGAGGGACUAUUGCUUCGCAGCACACACACCGACAACACAUUGCACGUGCUGCUGAAACAAGUCAACAAGUCUUACCCGAGCAUACUGCCCCGCCAAGGGCCUACGACACACCCCGCCAAGGGUGCCCAAUAUCCUUCCACACGUCGGCGACACAUCGCACAUGCGGGUAACAUUUGAAUCCAAGUAUCAGUAUCCCAUGGGAGGUACAUGUAAUGAUGCAAUUCAUAAUUUCAAUUUUCAAAAUCGAUCCCGAACAAAAGUGACUAAAAUACCCCUACCCCCAAGGGCAAAAAUGUAUUUGCACAACUAAGUAAUUAAAUAAAAAUAAUUUGUUGGGUCGAGGUGUUACAAAAAAAAUACAAUACAUAAGUUGAGCUUGGCGUGGACCCAUAUCGCCUCGUUUAGUGGCCCAACACGAGUCCGACCAGGUUCCAUAUUGGAUGGAGCAACGAACUCGAGCCAAAAUUAAUAAUUUUCAUAAAUGAAUGAGCCCGAUUCGGCCUAUUUAUUAAAAAAGAUGACUCUAAAUGGGCCGGCACAGCACGGCCCGUUUGACACCCCUAGCCCAAUUCUAGGCUCCCAUUGAUUUUACUCUAUUAGGUAUUAUGCAAGAGGACAUAAUUGUAAUUUUAUUUUGGUCAAAGAAAUUGUAAUUAAAAUUUCGUUUUUAUCAACCAAAUGCAGUCCUGUAAAACAAUAUUGGGCAGACCAAUCGAAAAAUUAAUGAAACCAAAAUUCCCCUCAAUUUGAAUGAAAUUACAACACUGUUUACAAAAAAACCCAAACGAGUGGCAUUAGAGAAAUAAGCCGAAGUAUCAUAGGUCUUCUUCCCCACUUCUGAAAACCCCAGGUCCCUCCAGACUCUCUCAAAUCAGCUUUGUGAUUUCUCAACCAGAACAAAAUAGUAAGCGCUUCUUUUACAAACCCAUUCAUUUCUUCAUUGUUUUUAACAUAUUUAGCACUUUUUUUGUGUGCUUUCCCCAAGUUGUUGAAGUUUCUUUCUUUAGCUUGAAGAACGAUAUUUGACUUUGUUUGCUCACUAUAUUAUAUUAUACUUGUAUGGGUCUGUUUUAGCGAUUGAAAUAUAUAAAUGAAUUACAAUAAUUUUUUAAAAUUUUAAAUUUUUCUAAAGUUGCAUGUUGUGCUUGGGUGAAAUUAGGGUUCUGCCUCUCCGUUACGACUUUUUAC
rnacentral:lncRNA from 1 species